UUUCGUAUUUUUUUUUCCUCAGAUUCCUUUAUGAAAUGUUUGACUUCUUGAAAUCUGUUGGCCACAUAUAUAGAGUUAUUAACAUAACAGAACAGGGUGCUGAUGUUGGUAUUGAUCAUGCUGAUCUUUAUGUUGUUAGCUACAUCAGUAGUAGUAGGUCAGGUGGUGGUGGCUCACGUGGACACGUAACUUUCGUAGUAGUGGAGGUGGAGGUAGCCUCCGUGGUGGUACUGGUAAUGGAGUUAGCAGUCGUGGCAGCCCUGGCGAUGGUAGUGUCCGGGGUGGUACUGGUAGUGGAGUUAGCAUUCGUGGCAAUAGUGGCGGAGGUAGCAUCCAGGGUGGUACUGGUAGGGGAGUUAGCAUUUAAGGCAGCACUAGCGUAGGUAGUGUCCAAGGUGGUACAAGUAGUGGAGGUGGUCGUGGCAGUGGUGCUGUUAGCAAUGCUAAAGGAAGCUCUCGUGGUGAAGUUAAUGGUACUAAAGGUAGCUCUAGUGGUGGUAUUAAAUAAAGGUAGCUCUAAUGGUGGCAGUAAAAGUUAUAAAGAUCGCUCCCGUGGUGGUACUAAAGCCAAAGGUAGCUCUAAUCGUGGGGGUAAAAGUUAUAGAGGCUACUCUCGUGCAGAUCGGUGGUGCAGGUUUUCAUUCAUCGUCCAAUGCCUACAGCCUGUCCACCGCAACUCUUACAGCUAUGACAACCUCCAUGGCAACUUUAAUUAUCCUUGCUUUUGUUUAAUGCACAUGAAGUUACAGAAAUAUACAUGUAUUUAUAGUAGUAGGAGAAAAGGUUGAAAGCAUUGUGUACUUGAUCAAGCAAGUCAAUGAAAAUUUAUCAAAGUAUGGUAGCAUUGUGUUCAAUCAAGUAUCUUGUUAUGAUUAUUUUCACACUGUUAAAUCUUGCUAUUUUCUGUUCUUUUCUCGACAAUCUACUUUGUUCGGAAUAAUUAAAAAUGGCACAGAGCAUGAUAUACGUUCUGAUAAACACCUAACGACCUCUGUAAUAACGAAAAAAAUAUGUACAUCCAUCUAUCAGUGCAUGACAAUUAUUUUCCAGAUUUACAUAUUUUCUUGUUACGACAUGGUAGAUAUAUAUACUGUUUGAGAAGUACUAUUAGCUUUUAUGCGCAUAUCAUCAUAUGUCUAGCGAAUGUGAUUGGCGCAACAUGAACUGUGACUUGUAAGUUGUUGUAAACCCUCAAAUCCCCAGGAUAUUAAAACAAUUAGACCCCCAGCGGAUUAGUUCCCUGUGUACAGAUUCGUGUGCUAGCUAUUCAAAGAGUUCAUUCCAGGAAUAUUGGAGUUACAACAAACUACAAACUACUGUAUGUGACGGAGUGUCCUACUGUGAUCAACACAGUGGAAAUAGCAGCAGGGGGGAAAAAGGGGUAGGACAGCAUGUCGGUGGAGACUGAUUCGAAUGCAGCAGUUAGCAUUGCAUUUACUAAUGGCAAAUGACAGUGGUAUUUAGAUCCAAGAUUAGGAGAAAUGUUCAUCGCGUGCAAAAGAAAAAUCUCUACACCUCGUCCGUAAUCUUAAAAACUUUGUACAAAUUCUUUUGAAUUCAAUUUUUUCUUACCAUCUCAUAUAGCUCUUACAGAACUUAAUUUGUUUUACUUAUUCCAAGAAACCGGCAAAGAUAAAAGAUAAAUUAUUACAGAAGUUUCAUAUCUGAUAGUAUUGUUGCGACACAUAUAUACUCAACAUGGAGUGAGAAAGAUGGAAAGAGUAGAACCUGAAAUCACUUCUUCGGCCGUCAGCAGUCAAGUUCUUAGUAUUUGUGGAAGAUGCCCUGCUUUCCAACAAUGCUUCUCCAGUUGUUCAACAAAAUCGUUAUGCAUAUCUUCGUGCUCUACCUCUUCGAGGGUUGUAAGGUGCUCAAGUCCUAACGGAACUUCCUUUAACUUUUCACAAAAAAAGAAUCUGAUCCAUUUAAUGAUAGGCAUUGCUCCCUCUUCAGCUAUUAUCUUACUCAAAGAACCCAAGUCGCCCAAAUUAAGCUUUUUGAGUCUGGGAAACCCUGCCUUGGAAAAGGUUAACUCUUCGCAACAAAUAGCCCAAUUUCCAAGUGUCAGUGUCACUAAAUUGGGUAAUGAUUGAAGUACUUUGAUCGGGUCUUUCCUCAAUUCGGAACCUGAAAGUUGUAAUUCUUCAAGGUUUUGAAGUGAGGGAAUCCAACUGGGAAGUUCAUGAAGAAUUCCGGCCAUGCACAAACAUUUAAGAUACUCUGGAGGAGAGCUUAGACUAUUUGAAUGUAGAAAGUUUUGGGAUUUAGAAGAUACUUUCAAGGAGCGUAGGUACUUCAUGUUCUGAACGGAGGUAAACAAUUGCAUCCCAUCCUCUUUUUUCAAGUUACAUAUGGCUAGUUUCCUCAACUGGGUCAGUUUUCCUAGCUCUUCAACUAAUAAACCACUUUUCUCUGUAUCUGCAUCAACCACAGCAAGCUUUUCAAGAUUGAUGAAGUUAUCGAUCCCCACUGGCAAUUUAACCCCUGGAUAAUGAGUAUAAAACUUUUCAAUGAGGAGAUGACGCAGACGUCUUAGCUUGAGAAUUCCAACUGGCAACUCCCGCAGUUUGGUAUAUUCUAGGUCUAAUGUCUCAAGAUAUACAAGGUCUCCUACCAAAUUAGGAAGAGAAGUUAUACGAGCAUUUCGCCUUAGACUUAGAUACCUUAGAUACAGUAGACUUACAAUUUGACCUGGGAACUCCUCCAGGCCAGCAUCUUGUAGGUCUAGGACCCUCAAAAGUCUAAAACUUGAAAAAAUGGCAGUGCUAGAAGAGCGAGCGAGCCAGGAUCCCGUAUAAGGCAUAAAAAGGAAGAGGGAUCGGAGAUGAAAACCCGAAGUAUUGUCUUUAGACAAUAUAUUUGCACCAGUAUCUUCGUGUCUCAAGCAAGAGAUAGACAUAAGCCGUGGUGGUCGUCGUCCUAUACUAGGAUCACUCGACAAAAAGUGUAAUUCUUCUUGCUUUUCAGCAAUGACUGUUGCUAAGUUCUGAUCACGGGCUUUCCCAAUUAUAAACUCACGCAUGAGGUCAUGAAUCCUACAUUUCUUGACCCUUUUACGUUCAUCCAUAUAUUCUACCUGCACCAAGUUUCUUUGAAUUAGCUCAUCAAGGUAGAAUCUAGCAAUUUCUUCCAUUGUAAAUCCCAUUCCCACCGCCUUUCUCUCCACAAAUCCUUCUGCGACCCAAAGUCGAAGAAGUUUCGAACUACUAAUAGAGUAAUCCUCAGGGAAGAUGCACAAAUAUAAGAAACAAGCCUUGAGGUAAUAAGGCAAGUCGUUAUAACUAAGUGAUAUCACCCAACGCAAAUCUGCAAGAUGGGACUGAUCACCACUCGAGCUAUCCAUGAGUGAGCCAAGAUUUUUAUAUACUUGAUCCCAUUCGCUAGUUUGCUUCAUGGAGAGCAAACCACCAAUGGCAACGAUAGCAAGGGGCAAUCCAUUGCACUUCUUCAGAAAUUUCAUGGAUAGAUUCCUCAACACUUGUUCAGUACAGAAAUUCAUGUUUUCUACAUUUGUUUUGAAUGCUUUCUUGUAGAACAGCUUCCAUGAGUCUUCAAGAUCAAGUGGUUGGAGAGGGUACGAAUGACCGUAGUCCUCAAGGCAGGUUUCAGCUAUGUUUUUGGAACGUGUUGUGACUAUUAUCCUACUAGCACUUUCUUCAUCAUUAGGAAAUGAAUUUUUCAAGCUUGUCCAUGCAUUUAAGCUCCAUAUAUCAUCUAAGACAACCACGUACCUCUUUCUUCGCAAGUUAGCAUUAAGGGCUUGUUUCAGCUUCAUAGGCUCCAUUGUGUCUACCGCUUGAAAUUCCGGGAAGAGUUGUUUGGUCAAGUCCCGUAACAGAGCUGUGGCUUUAAAUGUUUGUGACACGGUAAUCCAAGCACGAUAUGGGAAGUGUUCUUUCACCUGAGGGCUGUCAAACACCUUCUUGACGAUGGUGGUCUUGCCAAGACCGCCCUCUCCGAAAACUGAAACCACGCCUAGUCUUGUAUCUGCCUCUAAGAGGUAGCCAACUAACUUCUCUUUAGCACCAUCAAUACCAACUAGUUGAAAUUCUUCUAGGAAGAGGGCAUUUUCCCGAGGAUCAUGCUUUGUGGUUGAUUUCAUUUUAGAAGAAGUUGACCCUUGUUCCACCAAGUUCCUGAGAUUAUACCUAUCUCGGCAGCUGGAUAUCUCUUGGGUUCUUGCUUUGAUAUCUUUAAUCUGACUGCCAAUCUCAUGGCCUACCUUCAAACAAUGGAAGAAGUCGGCAAUUCUCUGGAAGAUACCUUUAAUGGAUCGGAUAGGGGUAGUUCCAUGUCUUCCAGCAGCAUGAUCAGGGUCAUCGGCAUGUUUCUUGUGAUGACUAAGAAAAAAUUCAUCCAAGACAUCUUCGAUCUCAUAAGCUAUAUCUCGUACUUGCUCCACCCAAUCUUUCACACCUUGGUCAAUAUCUACCUUUGCAUCGGCAUCUCUUAACAAAGCUUUGAUGGUUCGGAAUUCCAAUUUCAUUUGUUCAAUAUCAGUACGAACACCUUUGAGCAUGUCUACUUCUUGCUUUGCCAUUGCCACGAGUUUUUCCAGUAAAAAGCUUACAACACUCUCAGCCAUUGCUACUGAUCUCCUCUCACUUUUUUUUUCCUGUAAAUUACAGUAUAUGUUUAGCUUGUGUCCAAGCUUGUGUCUUAAAGCAUUUUGAUGAAAGAAAUUCAUAAUUUAAUUAAUAAUUAAAAACCAAUUUAGAUGUUAAAGACUAGGAAAGUUCAUAUGAAACAAUAGGUAAGUUACAUUACAUUACAAUAUUAAUUAUAAUAAUUACAGAAGCCUAUCAACCAACUAGGUGAGCUUAGAUAAUAUUUAAUAGCAUGUUAGAAAUAUAAAAUCAGACAUGAUUAUAAUCAAUAUUUUUAUAUUAAUCCAUUUUGCAGUUUCCUUGUUUUUUAAGCCAAGACCAAAUAUAAGGCUAAAAACUCUCUUAAAAUAUAUCAACUUUGGGCCGACUUCGUCUUUUUUCUAUGUUAAUUGGGGUAAUAAACUUUAUUUGUAAUAAUCGAUCAAACAGAUCCAAAGCCAUAAUCCUGCAUCCUCUCUCCCAUCAGCUGCAGUGAAGAAUGCAAUCUAAGAGCAAUCGCCGUUAGAGUUCAUCAAACACCCCCCCAUCUACUUGUUCCUCAGCUAGUCACAUUGGCUUUAGUGAGUUGUGUUAGCACAUCACUAAAACUUUUUGAGGUGUACUUUGAGUGAAAAGAUUGUAAGAACUUAUGCAAUGGUAGGAGGUGUAGCACAUAAAGUACCCUUUACAAGCCCUGACAUUGUUGCGAGCAUUUCUAGCUGGAUCUCCAUUGCCAAGCAAGCAAGUAGCAUUAAUAGCAUGUACUCAUUCUGUCAAAGUGUCAAUUAUAUAUCUCUGAACACUAAUCCUGCAAUACAAACGAAGCAGGAUGUCAGGUUUUUUUUUUAAUCCCACAUGGCCACAUUGUUAAAGUAUGACGAAUUAGGUGAGUUUAUAAGCAAUCUACUGCCCAAGGACGUGUAGGGUAAUCCAAAAAGGAUGUAUCGUACAUCCUUUUUGGGUUGCAUUGAACCCAAAAGGAUUUCCAGGUUCAAAUAGUGACUCGAGUUCGUCACUGGUGUUUGGAUUGUUUUCAACUCUUUCUUCACCUUCAGGCCUUCCUGUUUUUGGAGUGACCCCCAAAAAAGAAACAAUAUAAUAACAAAAUACUAAGUAUGUUGUAACUGAGAUGACCUUAAAAAUGAAAUAGAGAAAUUGGUAAUGAUAUCACUUGCCUCCUCUACAUAUUCUGUCAUGGUUGAGCUCACAGUUUCAUGUAUAAUAAACUUGAUGAGACGAGCUUCACCAAUUGUCCUUAUAAGGAAGUCCUUCGGAACCUGCAAAAGUUUCUAGUCAUCCAUUACAGCCAGAAACAAAGGAAGAACCAAAUUAACAGAUAUAGACAGAAUAUACUCAAGCCUGUGAUCGGAUCCCAUUUGUUUAUAAGCAGAAAUGAUUUCUCUUUGUAAGAAAUAAAUCAAAUCGUAAAACAAACAUAUUUUUUUUUCCUCGGUAAGAAACGAAUGUAUUGAAUGAAGCAAAAAUGAAAAAUACAAAGACCAAACUCAUGACUAUGUUAACAAGAGGUUCCCCAGCAAGCUGGCUGCCCCUGUAACACGCCAUGGUUUGGUUAAGAGGGAUUACAUCUUACGUAAAAGGAAUGGGGGUCCUCCAACUCAUAAAGGAAUGGAGGCCAACCAACAUAUAAAACUCUCGCAUCUGGUUCCAACUGCGCUGCAAAAUUUGCUAAGGCAUCUGCUGCGAAGUUAACCUCACGCCAUGUAGAUAAGACCACCACAUGCUGCAUUCUGCCAAUUACAUUAUCCCACCUCGCUUGCAUACACCAAGGCAGAUCCCUUUUUCCAAAAGCAUGAAACAGCAGCCAUUGAGUCAGAUUCGACCCACAAGAUUAACCACCCUUGCUCCAUUGCCCACUCAACUCCACUUAAAAUGGCUUCGCAUUCAGCUAAAUAGUUCGUAGCCUGAUGCAGACCUAUACACAUUGCACCAAGGAUGUUGCCAUUGGCAUCCCUGAAGAUAGCCCCUGAACCAGCCUUCCCUGGAUUAAAAUAACUUUUAGAAUAAGAAAAGCCUUACAUUUUCUGUGAACUUAAAAUUGUAUAUGCAUACUUAAUUAAUUUCUUGUAUAACCACCACAUGUAACUAUUCUACAAUUGUGUAAUAGCAACAAGGAAUCAAAGUCCUUAUGUAAUAAGGAAUUCGGGUUCUAUUAGAAAACAAUAUAUAUGUGUUAAAAGGGUUUUGGCUGGUAUGAGGCUGAGCCUAACUAAACCUGUUUGGGUGUAAAAUAGUGACAUGUGGCGGUUACCAAAUUUCUACAACGACACCCCAUAUAUAUAACCACACAUAUUGGCUUUGCUAACUACGCUACAUAUCUUCUUCAACUUCUGAAAGCCCUGCUUACUAUGACGAAAAAAUACAUUAUUACUACCCACUAUUUUAUCCAAUUCAUCGUGACUCUUGAAGAAGCUUCAACAAGAUCCAAAUAAAGACUAAGCCCCUAGGAAUAGGCAGAUAAUACAGAUGCAUUUCCAAUUCAUAUGCUGAUAUCUAUACACAUUUUCAUCCAAAAGUCAUGGAUCCUCAGAAUUAAUCAGGAACCGAUUUGCUCUUCUAAGUGGCCUACUCAUAUGACCAGAAUAAUGGCAAAAAUAUAUUCAAGGAAACAACUCUGAAAUCAUACUAUAAAGCUGAUUAAUUCUGUAACCCUCAGGAUCAUCACAGCUCACUGAUUAAAGCAAAAAAGAUGCUUUAUAGUAUAUCUCUAACCCAAGUUAAGAUAUUCUUACUUUCCACACCAAAAAAAGAAGACUUAAUAGUAAUAAUACACAAAUACCAAAUACGAGCAUGAUAAGAAAACCAAAAUUAAUGACAACCGUUAAUUUUCUUGAAACAACAUGAUAAUCAACACAACUUUGACUGAAAAUAUUGCCUUUGCACUAAGCCUUCCGCGGAAAGUUAAGAAGCAUAUUUAUACGUUCCUGAUUUGGUCCACCAGGUACAUGCAAAUUCAACAACUUAGACAUAGUUUCUGCGCUUGGAGAAAAACCUUUCUCGAUCAUGGUGUUUACAAAAUGCAUUGCCUUAUCGUCAUCAUUUCCAUGAACAAGGAAUCCUUGAGCAAGAAAAUUGAAUGUGAAAUCAUCUGGAACCAAACUCUUCUCUUCCAUCUCGUGAAACAACUCUUGAGCUUCAUCUAGCAACCCUUCCUUACAAUAUGCUCGGAUCAUGAUGUUAUAUGUUCUCGUGUCAGGAUGCAACUCUUUGGCCGAAAGAUUGUCAAAGAGUUCCUUUGCCUCAAAUAGUUGCCCUGUUUUGCAUAUACCAUCGAGGAUUAUGUUGUAAACAAUAAUAUUUGGCUUCAAGCCACUCUUCUUCAAAACAUUGUACAAUUCUAGCGCUUCUGUAAAACGAUCGUUAUUGCAUAACCCAUCCAUCAACGUAAUAUAAGUGAUCAGACUUGGGAUUUCCCGACGAGCUAGCAUUUCGUUAAAAAGAUCUUUUGCUUCUGACACUUUUAGAACUUUGCAAAAUCCACCUAUAAGGGUAGUGUAGGUAAUAGUGUCAGGUGUUAAUCCCUUGCAUCGCAUAUCAUUAAAAAUAUGGACCGCGUCAUCCAUUCUCCUAGCCUUGCAAUAGCCAUUGAUCAAAAUGUUAUAGCUAUAUGUGUUUGGUUCAUGACCUGUAGCAAUUAUUGAAUCGAAAAUUCGUUUGGCCUCUUUCAUUUGCCCUUGCAAACAAUAUCCAUCCAUCAUACUGUUGUAUGUGAUUAUGUUGGGUUCCUUGCCUUUUUCUGUCAUAAUCUUGAAUAUUUGAAGUGCUUCAUCCAUCUUACCUUCUUUACACUUAUAAUCAAUCAAAAUACUAUAUGUUUGCACAUUAGGUGAAAUUCCAUGACUUACCAUUUCACCAAACAAUUUUGUCGCUUCAUUCCAUUGACCCAAAACACAUAGGCCAUGAAUCAAGGACGUGUAUAUGACAACAUCAGGUUUGACACUAGUUUGUGACAUCAUCUCUACUAUCUGGAAUGCUUCCUUGAUCCUCCCUUGUUUGGUAAGAAAAUCAACCAGAAUGCUACAUGUUGUUACAUCUGGUUUGAUAUUCUGACUCAACAUUUUUCUGAAUAAACUCAUGGCUUCCUUGUGUCGACCAAAUCUGCAUAGGCCAUGAAUCAAAGAGGUGUAUGUAACAACAUUUGGUUCAAUGCUUUUGGUAUCCAUAUCUCGGAAAAGAUGGAAAGCCUCAUUCACUUGAUUUUCCUUAAAAAGACCAUCAAUAAUCAUAUUAUACAAAUUGACAUUAGACCUAAUGUUACUCGUUUCCAUCUUCCUCAUUAACCUGAGAGCAGCACUAGAAUUCUCUGAUUUACAGAGCGCGUCAAUGACGACCCCAUAAGUGACUACAUCAAAAGGGUAGGCAUACUCCAACAUUUUGUUGAACAAAUCCAUAACCUGCUUAACAUCAUCACCCUUCUUAGAAUUAGAAAGGCCCUUAAGUAGAGUGUUGAAAGUAAUAUCAUUUGGUUCCAACCCACGUUUGAAAAUAUUAGCCAAAACAGCAAAACCCAAAUCGACACGACCCACAUAACAGUAACAGUUAAUGAGGAUACUAAGAGUAACAAUAUUUAAUUGAAUUCCAGCUAAAAGCAUUAAUUUAGACAAAUAAAUAACCCAAUGAUAAUGUUUCAACUUAACAAGCGCACCUAACAAUUGAGUAAAAGGGUGAAUAGAAGGCAAAGGUCGAAUUUGAAAUAAUCUAUCAAACAAACCUAAAGCCUCAUCAAGCCCAAGAUCCCCAGAUUUGCAACGAUUUCGUACAAAAGAAUCGAAACAAAUUGGGUUCAUGUUGUUGUUGUUAGCAAUGGAAGAAGAAAUUGUUAAAUGUUGUUGUUGUUCUUGUUCUUGUGUUGUUGUAGUACAAGUGGUUUUGGUGUUUGCAAGAAUUAAUGAGAAAGAAGAAGUAGAAGAUUGAAUAACAUUUUUUCUCACCUUUACAGCAGUAACAAGAAGAUCACUAAUAAUAAUACUAGUCAUUCUUCUUCUUCUUCUCAACAUCAUCACCAUCACCAUUUUUCCUUCCACGAGACUGGUGUGAAGUUCGUUCGUUCGUUCGUUCGUUCGUUUGUUCAUUCCGUUGGGCUUUUUUCUAGUGAAUCAGAAUUGGGCCUUCUAUUACUAAAUUGACCAAGCCCAAAUCAAUUACUCUCUCGCUACAAAAUAAGACACCCCUUCGUCUUCUUCCAACACUCCUCAUCAAUCAUCAUCUUCUCCAAAAUAGCUGAAAGAGAAAAACUGUAUAAGAGGACAGAGAUGGAAUUUACAAAAGAACCGAUGGAUAAAAAGGUAAAUUGGAGCUGGACAUCAGCAGUAAUCGGUGCAGCAUCAGCAACAGCAACGGCUGUGAUUAUCUUAGGAAGACCAAAAGAUCCAACUUUUCAUCUCACUUCAAUAAGUCUUACAUCUCUUAAACUCAAUCUUCCACUUCUUGAUGCAGAACUCAUCUUAACCGUACACGUCACCAAUCCAAACAUUGUUCCUAUCAAUUACUCUGCUACUCAAAUGUCUAUCUUUUAUGAUGGCUCACUUCUUGGCUCAGCUCAUGUUGAAGCAGGUUCUCAACCGGCUAGAUCUUGUCAGUUGAUUAAGUUGAAUGGACGGCUUGAUGGUAUUGAAUUAGCUCAUCAUGCUAAGAAGUUUUUAGCUGACGUGGCGAAAAGAGAAAUGGUGCUUGAUGCAGCUGUAGAUAUUGAAGGUACGGCUAAGGUUCUUUUGUGGAGUCAUGCUUUUAAAGUACACGUGGAUAGUCAUAUUGUCGUUGAUCCUGUCUUUCUUGAUAUCAUCCAACAGGAAAAUAAGUCUGCACUUGAACUCUUUGUUGCUACUUAAUAAUAACGUUGUGAUUUAGGUUUUAUUCAUUUUCUUUUGUUGUCAAAUGUAUGGUUUACAACUUAGAAGUCAGUUUAAUUGUAAAACAAUUUGAUUGAAUGGCAUUUCACAUGGAACAAAAACUGCACUUUGAUCAACUUUUUAAGUAUAAUGAUCUUCAAUAAGAAGAAGAAUAUCAAAUUCUCUGCAAUACAUAUGAGAUAAUAAUAUAAUGAACAAUUUAUUGCUCACAAGAAAGAAAUAGAGCGAGCUGCUCCAACAAGGAUUUUCUUCAAUAUACAACAUACACCCACCUCCCGCCAUUGCCAUUGCCAUUGCCACUGCCACCCCCUGAUGGAGAUUUAUAUACUCCAACAAUAUAGCCUACGGAAUAAAUUGAUCCCCACUCAUUCUUCUUUCAACUUAGAUAAUAACAUCAUACACCAAUAACAAAUUACACGUACAAUCUGAAAAUCAGCAUUACUGAGGCAUAGCUAUUAUCAGUUUAGCUGAAGUAGAGGUGAGCGUGGUAUAAGAGAUGGCUUUAUUUCCUUCACGUUUGAUGCUUCGUAUGGAUGGUUUUCUCGGAACUCUUCAAGUAAAGAGUCCAAAGGCAUUGUCCGCAGUGAUUCAAUAGUCCCCUUGCUUGGAACAUCUACAUCAGACCGUGUGGGUGUUGUUCCACUUGGUUCAUAAUCCUGCAUAGUUGUGCAAUUUAAUGUCAGUAGGAUUUUUUUCAUUAAUCAAUCAGUAAUUCAGUAUGUAUGUAGGACACCUACAGAAAAAUGAGCUUUAACAGUACACCAUAUUCACUACAUCGCAUUUCAGUCUCAGGCACUCAUCCAUACCAAAGUAACUACCGUGUCUAUUUGUAGCUAGAUACUACAGUCAGUGAUAUAGCUUAAGUCUUUUUAUGACAAUCAAUAUUGCUUUUCCAUAAAAUAUCAAAACAAUAUUAAAAAUAAUAAUUACUUUCUUCUUCUCGAGUAGGAAAAGUGGAUAAGUAAACUUACCAUGUAUCUAUCCUGGAAGGUACUCUGUGCCUGCUGCUCAAUUUCCAUUGCCCCACCUGAGUGAUCAUCUCGCAAUUUCUGAAGGGUACUUGUUUGAGCCUCAACAACACCCAUAAUGCUAGAUAUUGAUUCUCGUUCCUGCUGCGAGACGUCUGAAAAGAAAUUUGAAAGAACUCACCAAGUUACAUACUUGCAACAACAAUCAACCACAUCAUACACUGGAAAAAUGAAACUAUAUCAAUUCAUCUAUGUAAUUACAGGCACUGGCUAGGUGCUGGAGGUGAGCCUAGGUACACGCGAGCGUAGGCAACAUCAGGUACCAGGGGAAACCAGACCCAAGCCUAUGUGCCCCAAGGCGCCAGGCAUAUUCAAUGAGCCACGAGUCUAGGCACGCUUUUGACUCCAAAUCAUUUCGUGUAUGCCACUUAACAUGGUAAAGUGUGCACUCAGUACUUAUAAAGAACAAGGUCAUCAAUCGACACUGCAGAAUAUCACUUCUCGGAUCCUUAUAACCAUAACAAAAUGAGGAUGAAAUCCCUAUAUUCUAAAUUAUUUGGAGAAAAAAACUCGGAUCCUUAUAACCAUAACAAAAAGAGGAUGAAAAUCCCUAUAUUCUAAAUUAUUUGGAGAGAAAAAAAUAUAGUGCGACUCACUCUCAAAAUGAUGAAGGAUAUCUUCAUUGUUUUUGGCAACAUCUUCCUCUGCCGCAGUCCUUGUGGAAACAAUCUCCAAAUCAUGAAGUUCGUUACUCUCGCACACAUUUCUGCACCACAAAUGACACAAAACUGAUGAUGGCACUGAUACAUAAUCAUAAUGAACAAUACUGUCAGUAAUGAUACAUGUGUUUGGAAUAAAUGGUGUGAGAGCCGGGGGAGGGAGGUGACUACAGUUCCAUGUUUGCUUGCUGUAUGAAUAUGAGUAAAACAUACACAUUAUCGUCUACAGUCUACACUAUGUUUUACUCAGAGUCCAUCAUCUAUCAAAGAAGUGGACAGCUAAAGUGAAGUGCAAUCAGCCACUGACCAGACUAGCAGAAAACAGUUACAUUUGAAUCAUUGUUCACCCUGUAAAAACUUGCAGACAAAAACUCCAGUAGAUUCUAAUUGAAGUCUUUAAUCUAACCAGCAAGAAGAUGACAGCUAAUAGCAAGAAACUGACCUGGCAUGCAACCCAAUGGCCGAAGCGUGCUCACUGCUCAUGUCAUUCACUGAUUCAUGAGUUUUCUGCCAGUGCUCAGAAGCAGUAUCAACAGUAGUUACACUGAAAGAAACCAAAAUGAUAAUUAUAAGAGGAUUAGCAUGUAAAAGAAUAUUUAGAGAAUGCAAAGUGUACAGAAUAGGAUAUACGCAACUGUAAGUUUGACUGACAAGACUCACCAUUUCUGAAGAAAUACCUCCAUCCGACAAUGUUUAGCAGCAGAAUAGUCAGCACUGUCUCUGGCACUAUUCUCUGCAUGACUGGAAAAUUCCUGCCAUUUUCUUUUUGCGUCAGAGGUGAUACCUCCCAUCAAUGAUGUAUGCUCAUCCAAAAUUGCCUUGUUUUCAGAUGCAGUGUCUUUCAAACCAUUAAGUUUCAGAUCAACCUGCAGAAAUGAUAAUGGCCAAUCACAAAAUAUAAUCAGAAAGAAAAAUAAAAGAAAGUAACAACCAUGGACAAUACAAAAGCAUACCAGUUCCUUUUGACGAUUGAAGUGAACAGAGACCAAAUUAAAUAAAUCAGCACAUAGCUUUUCUGAUUCGGAUUUUGUGAGUUCCUGCAACCCUUGAUAAUAAGUUCUCAAAGAGAUCAAAAUAAGAACCAACAAUUCGAAACUACAAAUCCAAAAAUAAUACCUCAUAAGACUUCUGAAAUUCAGCAAUGUUUUUCUGUUGCACAUUAUGAACUCGACUUGUUUGUGUUUGAAGCCGGUGUGAUUCUUCCCCAAGCUUAUUAAGAAGGUCAUUAAUAUAGUUGGAGGUCUCCUUUGUGUGUUCCACGCUGACAUUGAAUUUCUGGGAACCAUAUAACAGAGGACCAUAAGAAGUAAAAACAACAGUAUUAAAAAGAAAAAGUAAUAUUCUGCUCAUCCAUUUGUUUUGGAGUGGCACCACACCAUAACCAAAAAAAUGAAUAGAUCAAAUUUAUGGUGGAGCAAGGAGAAAGGUGUAUGAAAAAUAUGUAUAUUAGAUCAUAUAGCUAGAAGAAGAAAAAAAAACAGCUCAAAAGUGAAGCCGAUGCCUUCAACCAGAAUGUUCUUUUAUUACGAAAAUAAAACCUUGCAAAUUUAGUGGCAUAUAAAUAAGGAAAAAAAUGAAAUAUGAUGGGAACAGAAAGGAAUAAAAAAAAACACCUCCCGCAGCUCCCUUGCAAAAAGGGCCAUCUCUCCCUGCUGGCUUGAUAACGUGGCUUGGAGAUCAGCAAAUACUGAACUUGCUUCUCCAUCCAUGGUUGCCAGAUGCUUUGACAAAAAAAAAAGAACAGGAAUUAAGCAUUAAGAAGAUAGCAAGUUGGACAAAUUAAUAGACUAAUGAACUGGAAGAGCUGAAACUAGACAUUUGGCCACUUACUAGUUUUACCGCUGAAGCAUUAGCGAGUGCCAAAGAUGAAAUCUCGUCUAGACCUGCAUUAUUGCUUGCUUUAUGCAAGCGCACAACAUUUUGCAUCGCUUCCAUGUGAGAAGUAAAUAACGCCCUUGAAGCAGCCAUUUUCUUCUUUAAAUCAGAUACCAACUAGGAUCGAGAAGAAGAAAAUUACUAAGUCAAAUGCUACAAAUCUCAUAUCAAAAAUGUCUGUUUAAGAUAGUGAAGUACCUUCUCAUGGAUUUCAAGAAAAGAAUGGCAGAGCUUUUCAACACACUCGAGGUGCCCGUGUUGUUGAGACAUUGACGUAGCCACAGUGGUGCAAAGAGUUCCAAUUUUCUGUGUGAGAGAGGCCUGGAAAUCAUCAACCACUGACCGGUUUUCGGAAUUCAGUUUAUCUUCUCUAGCUGCAAAGUAUCAAGAACAAACACGAAGGAUCUGAGAAUAUACUAAGAUUCAUGGAAUGUAACAGUGAGGAUCAGUUUUGCAAGUAACAAAGAGAAGUAGGUUACCUAAUUUUGAAAAUAAUGAAGCAUUAUCCUUGUGAGAUUUUUCCAAGUCUGAUCGCAGAACACAUGCCUGAUGAGCCAAUGCGUUUUCUGUACUCACAAAUUCAGAUGAGUGAAGAGCUGAGAAUAAGCCCUCUAGAAACAAUGACAACAGAAUAGAAACGAGGAAAUACAUACAGACCUGCUUUCCUCAGUUCAGAAAUAAUAAAGUCUUUCUCCUUGACAGUAUACUGGGAUUUCCUCAAUUGCUCUUCCACCUUGGCAAGUAAUUUGCUGGUUUGCUCCAAACGGAUCUACAAGUAACAAAAAUAUAUUAAACUCUUUCAAUAUGCAUAUCAACAUUUGUUUUGCAAGUGUACCACACUACCACUAGAUCAUAAAAAGCAAACUAAUUACCUCUGUGUCAUCAAGUUUGCAGCUCAAAUCCGAGGACUCUAGGACCUGAGCAUCAUACUUUUCUUGCAAUUCCUCAAUUUGCUAAAGCAAAGAAAGUAAGGUUAGGGAAAUGAAUGUGUACAAAGGUAUUUAUUAAAUACAAAACAAGAUUUGACUCACUCUCUGGUUUGAUUCAAGUGUCACACUCAUCUGUUCAAUCUGAUCUGCCAUUGCCUUAACCCAAAUAAAAAGCAUCAUCAGCAAGCAGCAUAUUAAAGAGAUAUAUAACACCAUUCAGAUUAUGCUGAAAAAAAAACUUACUCUCUGCACUCGUAACUAAAAUGAAGAAUUUGCCAUGAUAUGCGAGUCUGAUCUUUUAGUCAAUUUUACAAAGGACAUUUUGUUUUAAUUUAUUAAACAUUAUGGCUGAGAACUGAAAAUAUUAAUUUGAUGAAAAUGAGCAGUGCUCAAUUAAUAAACUUUUGUGCUAAACCUUCCUUAACCAAAAACUUAGAUUGCUUGAGUUACAAGGUUCACUUGUCCAGUUUGGAAAGAAAACAAUACAAAGAAAGCUAAAUUUAAGGAAUAAAUCUAAGCAGAGUGGCAAUCACUAACACCAAUUCCAUAGCUAGAAAGAGAAUUUUUUUAUCAUAAUUAGUUACGGAAUGUCUUUCGAAUUGGCAAAACCAUAAAAAAAUAAAACUAUUAAUAUAUAUAUACUCAAAAAGUCAGCAUAAUCCCUGAAUGUACUAAUCAGUAUAUUGGAUUUAUUUCCAUAUUAUCAUACAGAUAGUUGCAUUAAUCAUACAUGAUGGUAAGCAAAAAGCUGAAAGCUCAUUCCUAAUAUGCUACAACAAACAAGUUCUAUCCAACACAAUGUGUAUGAUAUCCUAGCAGAUCAAUCACAAUAAACAGUCUCAGGAAGCUGAACCGGCACCACAUGCAAACCAUGGAGGCAUGGACAGUUGAAAUAUAAAAGGAAACACCUUUCUUUCACUCUCUUCUUCAAAAUGAUUCCUUAGCUAGAAAGAGAUUGUUUAUCUUUAUUUUUUGUUAAUAACAUGUCUUUCAAAUUUGCAAACAAUAAAAUGAGAACAACCACUGAAUGUACCAAUGCAGUAAGUAUAUUGUAUAUACAAUAUUAUCAGACAUAUAGCUGCAUUAAUCAUAUAUGAUGGUAAGUAACAAACAAAAUGCUCCUUGCUAAUAUGCAACACAAACAAAGUGCUCUCCAACAUGAUGUGUGUAUAUAUACUAGAAGACCAAUCACAAUUUGCAAACAGUCUCAAGAAGCAGAACCAACCCCACAUCCAAACCAUGGAACAUUGAAAUGUGAAAGGCAAUACCUUUCUUUCACUCUCUUCUUGAUAGUAACGUUCCUUUGGAAUAUAGACCCCACUUUUCUCUCUUGCAGCAUAGACCUCUUCAAAAAGUAAGCAGUACAGUUUAGUACCUCAACAGGGUAAUCAUGUAAAAUCUUAAGGGACCAAGAGAAGAAGUAAAUAACCUGCUUUAAGACGAUCAAUUUCUCCAUACAAGUCUUUAAUAAGUGUGGAUUUCAUCAUCUUUUGGUUUACCUAAAACACCACAUCAAGAGAAAUUAAUAAUGAUGUUAAUAAUAUAGCAUCAUGAAGUAGUCACAGGAACAUUGUAAUAACAUCCACCUAAAAGUGAACUUAAUUAUGAUACUUAAUUCUUAAUUAGAUAUAACCAAACAAAUGGGAAGAUUGCGAUGGAGUUAAAAAUAUGUCACAAAAAGUUCUCCAAAUGAAAGGUAACGAGAAAGAGAAAAAUGUGGAUAAAUGUAUGAAAGACUAUCCAUUUAACAAUAUAGCUAAAGCAGGUAAGAAUAAAAGGAGCAAACCUCAGGUUUAUUUCUUAUAUUCUUUGCUCUGUGAGCAUAAUCCAAAGUGCUCAGCGUUUCCUCAAGACAGUGAACAGCUGGUGAUACAGUGGCAAUGAUGCAUGUUUUAGUCCUUCCACCCAAGGAAUCACGAAGUAAUCGUGUAAGCUUGCUAUCCCUGCACUUCAACAUCAUCAGAACAAGAGAAACAUAGUAUUAUUGACCAAAGAUUUUAAAGUAAGAAGUCAGAAAACAGACCUGUAAGGAACAUGUCCAAGAUGUUCAACAAGAGCACUAAUAACACGUCCUAAAGUAAGUAAGCUUUUGUUAAUCUCUCCAGCUUCUCUUGCACGACCCUACAUUUAGAUAGCAAAUUGGUUUACAGCAUGACUGAAUAAACUGGUUCACAGUAAGAGUAAACCCCAUUUUAUAACUGAAUAAACUACAAGAACGUAUUUUUAGGAGUUACAAAUUGGUUUACAGCAUCACUUACAAUGUGAAAUUUACAUAUAUUACAGGCAAAAAUACCAUUGUCCUGUUACUGCUGUAACUGAAUACUCCCAAAAAAAAAUUCACUUGAAUUAACAAGUAUGAGAUAAAUAGGAGUAUGUUGUAAGAAGGGAAAAGUCAUACAGAUUCUCCUUUGUUUCUCGAUGUUGCUAUUAAUAUUUAAAAAUCACUAAACACUAAAUUCUGAGAGUUAGAAGACAUAUAUGUGAUAACCUAUCAAUAUAGCAUCCAAUGUUGCAGUGACCCAAAUUCUUUAUCUAUAGUAACUAUAUGACUCGUUAAGAGAGCGAAGAGAGUGGGCGGGUCAACAAGCCUAUACUCAAGCUCUUUAUUUAAAGCUUUGCUUCCCCUAAUUCAAAAAAAAACAUAAUAUAUUCAAUCACAACAAGAAGCCUUGUAUUAAUGUUUUGUAUUCAACAUAAAAGCAUGGAUUUUUCAACUCAGAUGCAUUCCCUGUAGAUAAUCGACCAAUUUUAAGAGGUCUCUUUAGGGUCGAGUGUUGUGGUCCAAUUUCUCAUUUGUUUUCUUCUUCCCAUUGUCUGUCUUCCCCACUCUCUCCCAACUCCUCCCCUCUUCCCUCUCUCUCGCCUACACUGAAGUCAGUCUUCACUGUUGGCGGUCUAUAUCACGCUUAAGAACAAGUAAUGUUUAUCUGUCUGUGACUUAGAUGACUCCAAUGAAAUCCAGUCACUGCCUUAAAAACUCCUUUCAGCAUUGACAUGGUGCAUAACGAUUACCAUCUGUAUGUCCAAUUUGAUAACUAUUGUAAGAUUUAUGAAGCCAAUGUAUCAACUCUUCAGGCGGAGUCAAACACCUAUAGUCGAUUACACUAGUCCUGCUCUAAUACAUUGAUGUGCAAUCAAUAUCACUGCAUGUAACUUCUUAGUGGUUCAACUUAAGCUUGAUCUUACAAAUAACAAUUAAAGUGUGACAUGAAAUAUUGAAGUAAGAUAAAAUUUUAAAAAUUUAUCCAAUAACAUAUUUGAUUAUGUAAACAAAUUUCAAACAGAUAAAUGUCUUGGUUUUCUGACACCUAGAAUCUUAAUUUACAGUUAAUUAUCUAUAGAUCUUCAAGGUGGUAGUCAUGUAGAUAUAUCCAUCUAUUGUACCAUAGUUCACCUACACAUCCAUCUUCUAUAAUUACUCAGAACAUACCAAAUGAAGUAGAUGAAAGCUGAAACUUCCAUAGACUGGAAUGCACGAUACUGAUAUAUAUAAGCUACCACCAUGAACAUAGUAUAACAUGUACCUCUCUGGCACCAGAACGUGAUAUAUUCUCUGAUCCAGCUAGAUCUACCAAAUUCAACUUGCCACACUUGAUAAGUUCUUCACCUUCAGGAGUGGAUUCUUUGAUGUGAAUUGUUAUUGAAAAUAAAGAAUGUGACCGACUGCAAUUUGAACAAAAUUGUCAAAAAAACAGAAAGAAUUUAUCAUGACAAAUAUGUAGCAUAAGGGAAAUAAUGAGCAGAGGACCUGGAUUGCUUGUUUAAUAGAGUUUCUGCAGUACGACGUUUUGAAGACCCUCUUUCAAGCAAGGUGAAGAUUUCACUUGCGCUUGUUACAAUUUCUUCUUCAAUCCCUCUUACAAGAACUCCACCUUUACCAUCCUCCAUGAGAAGUAGCUGCUUUUUUUGCUUCUCCUCCGAACUAACUUUUGAUAGUUCCUCAGGAGCAAGCAAAUCAGUAAUUUCCUCAUUAUAUAACUCUAUAAAAGUUACUUUGACACUGUAUUCGGCAUUUUGACUCUCUAGAGUGUCAAAAAUUUGUUUGACGGCCCUAGGAAUAACCCCUGCUUCUGGAGGUAGCUGUCCCUUACUCCCACUCUGCAAUUGUAUAUAAUAUAUCUCAGAGCCCAUAACUCACUAGUGACUAUAUAACCUAGUUGCACAUGAAAGCCCAAAACCAAAGGCAUUUACUUAAGGAAAAUAAAAAAUGGAGAGUGGUCACAUCACAAUCACACACCUUAGAUUUUUUGCAUUCACCCUCCAUGGUGUAAGUUUUUCCAGUACCAGUUUGGCCAUAGGCAAAUAUGGUGCAAUUGAAUCCUUCUAACACUUCAUUUACAAUUGGAACUACAGCUUGAUCGUACAAAUCUCUUUGUUGAGCUGAGGGACCGAAAACCUGCAUAAUACAUUAAUACAUGUGAACAACUAAUCAUCAACUAGAAAGUAGAAAUUUAUAUAAGGGGGGAAAAACAAUCAAACGAUUAUAGUUUUAGUAAUUUAACAACAGGACCAGCAAGCUAAAUUUGGUGGAGUAAACAAUAAAAAGGAGAAUGUGAUGUACAAAACUUAAUUAAAAGUACAGGAAGAGUGUACCUCAAAUGGUUGUAGAAUAAUCAGGAAAGAGUAAAACAUGAAACGUAAAUUUGAUAAACCAAACAUACACUAGAGCAUCUUUGAAAUUCGAUAAAUCAAACAUACACUAAAUUUAUUGUGGUCUAUUGUGCUAAUAGAAAUGGAAUUUUCUUCAGAGAAUUACUAACAUUCAGACAAUUCAGUUAAAAGGAAAGAUAACAAUCACUCCAGCCAGUAAAUUCUUUCCUUAUAAUGUGUUAAAAUUGGAAUAAUACCUCCAUAACACCAUACUUUAUGCUUUAACUUGAAAACUACAUAUUUUAGCAAUGCAAAGUUGUGAAAAAAUUGAGUUCUUUUCCUGCGAUCCACAAUGCAUCGACCCACUAACUUAAUUGUAACAUAUGUAAGGGUCCGUUUGAUUAUUUAUGACUGGGUCUAAGAAGAAACUGAUUUUCAUCAAAGCUACUAAUUUCCAAGUCAAAACAUCCAAUUUUUUGGAAAACCUAAAUUUCGGAAAAGUACUAUUUGAAAAAAUGUGCUCUAACGAAGUCCCAAUCAACAUCCAGUUAAGUGAUUUCCCAACGAUUUUUGUGUUCAAUCAAAAAGUACAAUUACUUUGUAGAAAAUUCAAUUUCCAGAUUUGAACUUUCUCAAAUGCAUUUUAACAAAACUAAUUUUCCACCAGAAUAAGACAGACCCUAUAUUGCAAUCAGACAUAGAUAGUUCAUCAACAGAUUCUGUUUAUAGUUAACUGCUGCUGCAAUUUAGUCGCUUAUUUUACUUCAUGUAAAACAUGAAGAAAAUUACUUCAAGUAAAACUUGAAUAUAAAGAUAAAGUCUUGAACUUUCACUAUUCCCCUCAACAACUAAAGGAACAUUUCAAAGCAACUUCAGCUGAAAUCACAAAUUCCAAAAAAAAAAAUCACAAUACUCUCUACUCCAUCUUCACUCCUUCCCUUAAUUAAUGCAUAAUUAAUCAAAAUGCAUCAUUUUUUCGAAAACAAAAACCCUAGAUCUGAUAAGAACUAACAAAUUACAAAUACCUUGUCGAAAGUGAACACACGGUCGAUCUGUUUCCCAGCAAUAUUUUGAGAAACUGCAACUUCUCUUUGAUAAUCAUUACAAGUCACUACUUGUGGUGCAUUACUUCUCAAUUCAUCAUCACUAAAUGGCCUGAAGAAAUCAAAAUCAAAACACAAAUUUCAAAACCCUAGAAAUGAUUUUGAACUAAAUUGGACAAAAAAAAGAGAUUUCUAAAAGAACAAAAACCUAAUUUCAAAUUACCUGCAACGAAGAAGAACCUGAACAUUUACACCUUUAUCUACACGACUCAUCUUAAAAGAUCACACAACUCAAUAUCCAAAUCAAAUCGAGAAAGAGAAAUCACUCUUUCUCUCUCUACCACACUCUCUCUCUCUCUCUCUCUUGAAAAUUCUUACUUUCUCUCUCUAGAACCCUAUCUUUCUCUCUCUGAAACUCUUUCUCUCUCUCUCUCUUCUCUCUCUUUCUCUGUGUUUAACUGGAGGAGCGGGAUGACAUGAAAUUUGAAAUUUGCAAACCCGCUUGGGCUAGAAAACAAAAUCUGGACCACCCACGUUCAAUUAUUAUUAAUCUAACGGUUGUUAUUUCGAGAUUAAAGCGUUAGACGAAAAUAACCCUGCUUAAAAGACUUCAAAAUUAUUAUAGAGGUAAUGAUGUAGCAGUCCACGUACUACAUAUUGACAUUCUACUCCAUCCUUCUAGCUUAGGGAUGGUACCUAGGGCUUUUUUUAUUUUUUUUAGAUUUUUGGACAUACCCUAUUUCAAAGUCGAUACCCCCAUUUCAAGAUGCGGUGUUAUCUUAGUCGUCUAUCAUAAAACUAACUUACGGUUGUAAAGCUCUUCAUCUUGAAAUGGGGUAUCCCAAUUUUUUUUUUCAAAUGGGGUAUCUCAAAUUUUGACUUUCAAAUUGGGGAUAUGUCCAAAAAUCUCUUUUUUUUGGUAGAAGAUCUAGGGCUCUUCCCACCAACAUUAUUCUACUAUUAUAAACUGGAAUAAAAAAAUUCAAAGGUAAGUGGGAAUUGAACUUUAGAAAUUAAUACUAAUAUUUUUAUUAAAAUACCCUCAAUAGUUAAUACUAUGAUUUUAUCGUAAAUCAACAUAAUAUCUAUAAAAUCGUAGUUUUUAUUGUAAUUUUUAUUUAAGCAGAUGAGGCCCAAUAAUAAAUUAAGAGAUAAUCAAAUUAAUAAAUAUUAUAAAAAUUAAUAAUUUUUAAUCAAAAUAUAUCUUAUUAAAAUAGUUUUUCUACUUAGUUUCUAAAAUAAUGUCUUAAUAAAAUAUAUCUUGAUUAAAAAUUGAUAAUUCUCAUAAUAUUUAUUUAUUUGAUUAUCUCUUAAAGUAUUAGGCAUUUUACCUAUAAUAAAAAUACAACCGAUAAAUAAUAAUAUGUUAAAUUAAUAUAAAAUUAUUACUUUAAUGAUAUUAAUUUAAUUACGAUAAAAUCAUAAUUAUAAAAGUGUAUAUUUUAGUAAGAUAGGAAUGUAUUUCACAAAACUAUCAAAGUAGGUUGAAAUUGCAAGAUAAUAAGAUGUGCAUAUGCUUUCUUAUAUAGUUUAAAAAAUCGAGGAGAUUCGCGGAUAUUAAGUGAAUUCUUCCGUUAUUUUAGAAAUCGGAUCGGUAAUUAGUCUGAAUACUCAUCGAUACGUGAAACUCCCCAAAUCUAUGAAUAUCCCUUAAUUUUUGCCUAUAAUUUCAAGUAAUAGCGGAUUAUACUUAAAUUUUUAAAACUUAGUCCAAAAUUCGAGGUUUUAGGUUUAAACGUGAUAAUCUUUAAAGAAAAUUGGAGACUUGAGAAGCCAUUAGAGGAGUAAGAGUAAAAAGAUCCAUAUCUGAAAUUUGUUAGAUCAAGAUCUUAGUUUAGGUUGUUUCAAUAGUGAUCCAUUGUUUGUCUCUCUAUUGUUCAAAUCUCUUGAUUUUGCAAAAGAAAUUCUCUUAGUAUUAAGGUUUUGCGUACUCAUUCAGAUCUCUGCAACGUGGGCUAUAAUCUUAUUUUUAAAUAAACUUUGAUUAAUAUAGAUUUUUUUAAUAUUAAAAAAUAUAAAAUAAUUAUAUUUAUCUGUGAGAAACCUCCCCAAUCUGACACAUGAGAACGAUAUUUGCGGAUAUAGCCGAUUUUUUUGUUAGUUGAAAUUUUGCCUGAUAUCGACAUUUUAAACUAUGAUUUCUUAUACUUUUCAACCAUCAACAUAUUUUUUAGGUUCAUCUUUCCUAUAAUAUAUGGCUGAAAAUAGCAUGGGGGCAAGGGAUGCCACCAAGAUCCCACAUUCUACAACCGCAUACCUUUCUUCAUUUUUGGGAACCUCAAAGCUUCGGUUUCCAUUGUAUACGGUCUCCAAAACCUAUAUUGCAUCUUAUUUUCUUGUCAUUUCUUCAUAGGCCUAGAACAAAUAAAAUCAGUCCAUUUGUUCAUAGCAUCUCUCUUUUUCUGCAUUCUUACCAUCAUAUCUCGCCUAAUGUCCUCCAUCAUCAAAAUAAUUUGCUUAUCUUUUGCCUCAAGAAUACUCUCAUUGAAUGUCUCACACAUAUUGUUCUAUACAUUUUCACAAAAAGAAAAUGAAGCAUAAAAUGUUCUACUCCAGUUCCCAGGGUAUUGUUUUUCCAUUUAAUGAUUGUAAGCAUCUUUAGAACAUUUCUUUAUCUCUUCCAUGGUACUGUGAAACUGAAUAGGUGAACAUGCCUUGCUUGUUUGCCAAAAUAAAUUCUUCAAUUGCAUACCAGUGUAUGUCUUCUUGAAAUUGGCAUAAAUAUGCCUAGCACAGUUCCUAUAUUCAACCAUUGGUACUAUGUCAGCUAUAACAUUUAUAAGACUCUUUUGUUUGUCUGAAAUCAAUGUGAGAUCGAAUCCAUCUAUCAUGCCAAGAUCAGUCAUUAAUAACUCCAAAAACCAUUUCCAAUUGUUUGUGUUCUCAACAUUUGAUCCAAACGACCUAGCAAUAGAACUUAUAAUAGAAAGAAAUAUGGAAGCAUGCAAUAAAAAUGAAAAACAAUGAUAUGGUGAGAAUGAAAUCCUUCCUCUGAGGUUUUCUUUAUUGCUCUUGAAAAACUCAAAAAUUACAAUAUGAGAGGCUUCUUAUUCCUUUUUGGAUACAAGACCUUAAAAACAACCUACUAUAUGGCUUUCGCCUAUGCUUACAAUAUGUCCUAGCUUACAAGUCUAUUGUUUGCUCCCAGAUUCUACAUUGUGUUAUGGAGUGUUCUUCUAGAUGGUUUUGUGUGGCUACUAGUGACUUGCUUCUUUUUGGGUGACAAGUCUUGUAUUUAUACAGUGAAUACAAGUUCUUACUCUUUUUAGGGUUUCCAUAUAGAGUGAAUACUUGUUUCCUACUCAACAUAGAGCUUCUAUGAGAUCUUGGUAUCAAAUAGAGGUCUUGGACGUCAUAUGGACUUGGGCAUGUUGCUGGCUGUGCUGGUCUGCUGCCUGAAUAUUGUCAGAACUUUGAAGCCAAUUUCCUAACUAAAUACUAUGAAUUAGAACAUGUUUCAUAAAACCACAAAACUCCCACGAGAUCUAUAUGCUUUUGAUACCACUUGAUCCAAACGACCUAGCAAUAGAACUUAUAGUAGAAAGAAAGAUGGAAUCAUGUAAUAAAAACGAAGAACAAUGAUAUGGUGAAGAAGAAAUCCUUCCUCAAAGGUUUUCUCCAUUACUCUUGAAAAACUCAAAGAUUACAACAUAAGAGGCUUCUUGCAUGUUCCUUUUUGGAUACAAGACCUUAAAAACAAUUUACUAGAUGGCUUUCUUCUAUGCUUACAAUAUGCCCUAGCUUAUAAGUCUAUUGCUUACUCGUAUAUUCUACAUUGUGUUUUGGAGUGCUUUUCUAGAUGGUUUUAUGUGGCUACUACUGGCUUGCCCUUUUUGGGGUGACAAGUCUUGUAUUUAUAUAGUGAAUACAAGUUCCUACUUCUUUGAGGGUUUCUAUAUAGAGUUAAUACAUGUUUCCUACUCAACAUAGAACUUCUAGGGGGUCUUGAUAUCAAAAUAGAAGUCUUGAACGUCCAAUUGGACGUCCAAAUGGACUUGGGCAUGUUGCUCGUUGUGUUGGUGCCUGGUCUGCUGCCUGAAUAUUAUCAAAACCUUAAUCCAAUUUUCCAACUAACUACCAUGAAUUAGAACAUGUUUCAUACAUCGUUGGAAACCUAGAAAAAUGUACUUUCCAACCCAAAAGACGAAACAUGAUUCAGAUCAUUGAACACAAAGUUAUGGCCGAAUUACCACAAGGGUGUGUUUCAAAUACUUCUAAUCAACACCAAAAUCCUCUUGUAUCAACAUCUACUUAGCUCAUGCAAUAAGGAACAUCUGAUUGUUCCCACAUCUCCCAAUAACACUCAAUAACUGACCCUUACAGUAGGACUUAAGAAUACACCCAUCUAACCAAAUGACUAGCUUGCAACCCUCAAUCCAUCCAUCUCUUACUGCUUUGACGCACACAUACAUCCUCUUGAACACGUGAGGUUCAUCUAGUGAGUUCCUAUCAACUUGCAACUUGAUAGUACUGCCAAGAUUUUUAAGCUACAACUCAGCACAAUAGUUCCACAGUCUGCCAUAUGCUUCAUUCAAAACAGUAUCCACCUGUCCUAAUGCAAUCGUUUUUGCCCUACCAGCUUGACCAUUUGGCAGAUUAAAAACAUUUUUCUCUUUGAUUUUUUAACAAUUUUCUUACACUUCCAUUUUGUAUAAUGUUAUCCUUUAAAGUAGCAACACUCCACUUCACAUUUGCAAUCCUGAUUUCGAAAUCCUUAGUGCAUUUAUGUUUAUCCACCAAAGUCUUAAUUUGAAAUGCUUUCUUGUUUUCCAUCCAGCUAGCCAACACGUAAAAGUCACAACCUUUAACACAUCUCACUAUAAUGUUUUGGUUUGCAUUAUUUUUUGUAAACCUGAGAUUGUAUCCUUUACCAACGACAUAAUCUUUGAUCAACUUUUUAAAGUGUUCAAGAAAUUCAAACUUCAUUCCACUGAAUGGUUUAACAUGAAACACAUCAACUUUGGGAUCAUAUGAUGGGAAAUUGUCAGUUUUUCUUGUGAGUUCAUUUUCAUUGUCAGAAUCAGGGUUAUCAUAGUCAGAGGAACAUGCAUAUUCACUUCCAUAUCCAUCAUCUUGCUCCACCUACACAGUCUCACCACCCUCAGACACAAUCUCACUAGGAAGAGUAAGACACUCAAUAUUAUCCCCAUUUUCUUCAUUGUGCCUCUCUUAUAGUCAAUGGCCUUCAUCCUUACAAAUCGCAAUUCAUCAUCAUGUCCAGACAUAUGAUCCAAACUAGUAACAUCACUAUCAUUUUCUGAUUCACUAUCACUAUAAGAAACAUCAUUGUUACUGUCUUUACUUAGAGGUUCCAAAUAAGCAUCAUUGUUAUCAUUAAAAGAGACAUUACCAGGGAUAUUUAGAUCUUUUCUGACAUAUUGCUCAUCAUGUUCAAUUAAUAUCACAACAUAUUUCUCCUUAUUGAAUAACUCUAUAAUAGCAUUAGUAUCCACAUCAUCCACAAUAAACUUAAUAUUAUCUUCUAAGUGUUCACCAAGGAUGCAGUAAUACAUGUAAUUAAUAUUCUUUGUCUUUGAGUCAUCCUGAAUCAUGUUUUUCAAUUCAAAGAAAGAGAAUCUAUCAACAUCAAUAUUAUAAAUGUGAUCCAUCCUUUCUUUAAUAGAAUGCAAAAUAAGAACUCUUCCAAAGCUCCCAUUCCAAUAAACUUCAAGACCACAAUUUGGUCCACUUGACACUAUAUAAAAUAAUAUACAAAAUAUAUAAGAGAAAAAAUUACAGACUUAUUAUCAUUAACAUUAUAGACUUCUAACUUCAAUGUCAUAUAAACAUUGCAAACUUAUUAAACAAACAUCAUAACAUAUAAGAACGGAAAUUUGAUAAUCCAAUAUGAGUGAAUGAAAGACACCUUCGGGAUAAAAUUUUAAAUCAAAUUAAACAUACAUCAAACUUCAAGGCUUCAAGCAAUGAAAAACCAUUUUGUUUAUAACAAAAAUGAAUCCACAAAACCCAAGCUUUGACCUUAUUUGUUUAUAUAUGACACAAUUCGAAAUUCUAAUUUAAAAUGCAAUAUACACUUAGAGCGUGACAAGUAAUUAAAAAUGCAUCUACAUCAAGAUUUAUAUAAUCAAUAUUUAAAAUAAGUAUCUGUGGCAAAAUUGAGUAAAAUAUGCACUUUAAAAGAAAAAAUAGGUUAAGAAAAAUUUGAAUCCAUUUUCCUGGGUAAUGAAGUAUUUAACCCGACUCUGAUCCGGGUCGGAUACGAUUUAUGUUUAAUUGGGCUGGAUCCUUCUAUAUUCUCUAAUCUCUACAAAAUAUCGAUAUACACUUAACACAUUCUCAACUUGUAUGUGUAAUAUUACUAAACAUGUGAGGGUUAGAUAUGUCAAUUUACAAGCUUUUGUAUAGAAAAAACUUUUCGUCAAUCAUCACUAUAGUCUAGAAGAUCAGAAUAAAAUGAAAGUAGAUGAAAAGACUGUGGUUGCAUUGGAAAGGUGUUGAUUUUCUUUCUUUGAAACACAAAGAAGAUUUAACAUUAGACUUUAUACCUUUUUCUUUUCUCAUCGUCUCACUAAUUCUACCCAUUUUACUCGAGUAUUUAACCAUUUUAACAAAAUUCCUUUCUCUUUUCUUAAAUUUGAACAAGAAAAAUUUAAUUCAUUAAUUUUUCAUAUGUAAGUUGAAUUAUAAGUCCUUACAGGAUCAAACAAUUAUCUAUGAUUUGAGGAUUUGUUCAUCGAGUUCUUAGAAAAGAAAUAAAAACGGGUUAGUACAAGUCGGGUUUUGAUCAACUAAUGUUAAAAUGGUUCAGAUUUGGUGGGGAUAAAUAAAUCCGACUCGGGUUUGGAUUCAAAUCCGAUUUAAGAUUAAAAAAUAUGGAUAAGAUUAUAGAUCUACCUUGAUCCGACCCAAACCCGACCCAUUUACAUCUUUAUGCUAAACUCUUGUCCUUUACACAACCAUGUGGUUUAUCUAGGUCAUGUGUACUGAUCUAGUGUUUAAAUCAGGGUUUUCCAAGCUUGAUAAAGUUUGUAGCAACAUCAAAGCUCUUAUAUGGUUCUAAGUGGAUUCUAGCGUGCUUCACAAAUAUUUCUCUUUCGCAGAUGUCAUCGGAAACCGGGAGUUGUGGCUUCUUUCUUAACUGUGGAUAUAUGAAAGAGUUUGUUCUGACUUGUAGCAUCAACUAUGUGACCUUUUCCAUCACCAUUCAUGUUCAUGUUUUUAUGAAUUUUGUAUUUGUUUUACAUUGUAACUUGGUUGCAUUUUUUCACUACCUAAAGAUGGUGUUCAGGCAUAUUGGUUAGGGUGUAACUGUUUUUUGGAUAUUAAUAAAAUAUCAAUUUACCCCCCCCCCCCCCCCCCAAAAAAAAAAACCCUAGAAAAGUCCCUUUGAUGCAAGAUGAUAUUUUACUAUCUGACAACAAGAAAAUCAUAUUAACAAUGCUCCCUACCUACAUUAAAGAAGGUUUCAUCCAGCUGAAUGAAAUUAUCACAUGAAAAUUUUGUCCAAUGAGUAUUGCAUAGUCUUUUUUUUGUUCUUCGCAACAUGGGACUCAAUAUAUAUAUAUAUUUAUGGCAAAGGGGGUUGAGGGGCCCCCUACCCUUUAAAUUAAGUGAGGAAACUUAUAUCAACUGCUGACGUGUUUCGAACCCACGACCUUUCCACUUUGUGAAAAGGAUGCAACCGUUGGGCCACAUGCUUAUGUGCAAAAAAAGUUGGUAGUAAACACAUGUUUUUAAUGAGAUUAGUAACCCGGUAAUGCUGUCAAGAUUCAAAUCCCAGACCUCUAGUAUUAUCACCCAAAGGUUUUACCAAUUGAGCUCGACUGACACCUAAAAAAAAUGUUGUGGUAAGCCUGUUUUUAAUGAGAUCAGUAACUCGGUAAUUCUAGCGGAGUUUGAACCCAGACCUUUGGUAUCAUUACCUAAAGGUUUUACGAGCCCAACUGGCACCUGCAAUAAAUCUGCUGGUAAACCUGUUUUUAAUGAGAUCAAUAACUCGGUAAUGCUGACAAGAUUCGAACCCCAAAACUCUGGUAUCAUCACCCAAAUGUUUUACGACUCAAUUAAACUCAUUGUCUCUAGAAUAAAUUCUAGUAAAUGUUUGAAUAAUUUUUUAUGACGUUAUGGAUAAAUUAAAUUUGUUAAAUUUUACACUUGUACUAAACCAAACACACAGAUUGAGGUACACGUUUUGAACCAAUGGAUUUGCUAUAUUGUUGUAUGGGAAUUAAGACAAGAUGGGGAAAAUCGAACACCGUAGACUAGAACUGGAGGUGGUGUGAUGGUAGGGGAGGAGAAGGAGGUGGGGAAAAUUGAACACCGUAAAAUAAUGUGAUUACACAUUUUAUUAUAAAAUCUAGUGGUAAUUUUAUUUGAAGACAUUUUCAGUUUAUUGAUAUUUAAAAAGGAGAGGUUCCAGGGACUUUAGAAAUAUUUGACUCAAUCCUAUUUCGGGUAUUUAUACAUGUUGGAUUGACAUGAUUUUAGGUGGAUGUGAUCAUAUUUUAAAAUAUCGGGGAUAUGUCGGGAUUUGAGAAAUAUAUAAAUAUCCGCGAAUAUUCACGAACUCAUAUUCUAAAUUCUUUUUUAGUGUCGAAAUCUCGACAUAUACCAUUUUUUUCAGGAUUCAAAAUUUUGUUCGAAAUCGGCGUUUUAAACUAUGAAUAUAAUCUCCUUACUAUAUACAUCUACUACAUAAAAAAUCAGUUCAUUUGAAAGAAUUUAGACCCAUGCAUCAUAUGUAAUAUUAAAUUCAAUAGUAAAAAUGAACGUUCCACAAUACAUUAACUUGUAAUAUUAUUUUUAUAGGAUUUAGAAAAUUUGAUUACGAUAAAUUUUGGUGAAAAUAUCAUACAUUAACAUUCAUCCUAAAAAAAUCCUGCCAACCCAAUAUGUACAAUUACCUCAAAUAAAAUUGUUAAAAUUGAGUCAAAUAUUUCUUAAGUCCCUGAAACCCCUCUGAUCAAAAUUUACAUCAAUCAAUUUAUCCCACGUGGAUGUGGCUAUGAAGUGGCAACACAAAUUUCUUACACAAUGGAUAAGGAUGAUGCUUUAACCUCUGGGUGGAAAGGCCAAACUCCAAAGGAUAUGGCAUGUACAGUAUCAUUUUUACCUCCAGUAGCAACCAGCCAACAGCCCAACAACCAGCUUUUGGGAAAGAAGUUUCAACUCUUUACCAAAGAAAGAAGUUGUACACAUGUUGUGUUCCUUUCUAUGUUUUCUCACAAUUAUCAAACUCAAUUAUUAUUAUAUCUUCAUUUACCUUAAUUAGCGGCUAGCUUUACACAAUUACACAUUGGUCUCUUCAAACUUGAAACAAUUCUUCUCUCAUCAUUCAUCAACAUCAACAUCUUGUUUUCUUUCUAUGGCCAAUCAGAACAACAACCAACUCAGUUCUAUCUCACAGAGUCGACCCGUUGGUGGAACUGAGUUCAGUUGGUGUCGAGCUGUUCCAGGAGGCACAGGUAUAUCAGUUCUUGCUCUUCUUCUCUCUAAACCUCUUGAUAUUCAGAUUCUCCAAAACGCCCUUAAUAAACUUCAAAUUUCCCAUCCAAUCCUCCGAUCUAAACUCACUUAUACCGAUCCCAUUACCUUCACCAUACCUCCUUCUCCUCACAUUCAAAUCCAAUUCCAUGACUUACCCUCCACUUAUAAUCUCCUUCAAUCAAACCCCUCACAGUCUCUUCUUUCCCCUUUUCAUCAAAUUCUUGAAUAUGAAUUGAGUCAAAAUGAAAAUUGGCCUAACCCAUUUGACUCAGUACAGACCGAUUCCGAUACUUUUUUUUGUAAUCUUUAUGAUAUAGAAGAAGAAACGAAAAGGGUAUUAACGUUUCGACUUCAUACUUCAGUUUGUGAUCGAACAACAGCAGUAGUUUUGCUUAGAGAAUAUUUGGAUAUAAUUCGUGAGAAAGAAGAGGUUGCAGGGGAAUUAGGGAGUGGUGAUGAGGUUAAUUUGGGAAUUGAGGAGCUUAUUCCAAAUGGGAAAGCUAAUAAGCCAUUUUGGGCUCGUGGGGUUGAUUUACUUGGUUACUCAUUGAAUUCAUUCAGAUUUGCUAAUGUGGAAUUCAAAGAUGUUGAGUCGACUCGGACAACUGGUGUAGUUCGUGUGCGGUUUAACUCAGAUCAGACUGAUAGAAUUCUUGCUGUAAGUAGAUUUAUCACUUGUUAGUGCUAAUUUUAGAUUUAGAUAUCAUAUUCAUAUGCUGUAACUGUUCACUUUGUUGCUGAAUGCUGAUCUCAAAUUUUGGUGGCAAUGCGGGUUUGGGGGGUGCAGUUAGAUAAAUGCUAUUAUGAAAGACUAAAAUUAUAUUGUCCUUUAAUAAUUGAGGAUGCCAUGACUUAGGUUUACAAUCUAUGCACAACAAACAUGACAUGUUAAUGUCAUAAAUCUCAAAUGCCAUGUUUAUCGUGUUUUGUUAGAACUUAGAUAUAAAUGAGCAACUGCCUGUGCAUAUGGCUCUUCAGUGCCUUAUGCAGCCUUUGAAAUAUUUUGUUUCUAGCCUAUAGAUUGUUCUUGACCAUAAUUUUGAUGCAAUAUUAUCCAUAUAACAAUAAUUGAGUUGUGGAAUAAAGUAAUACAAAACCAGUUUCUUUAUGCUCAACAAUAUCUUUUAUGCCUGUAUAGCUCUUUUUCUUUAUUGCUGACAUUCUGAUCAUUACCAAGCCAUGCUUGUAACUAGGAGAGUGAGUCUUAACUCUCAGCCUAGAUGGGAAUUUCAAUAUUUAGUUUGUUUGUACCGAAAAAUUUAGGAACUAAAUCUCAAAAACUACGAUAAAAGAAUGAUAGCGUGGGCAUGAUAUAGAAUAUAUAAAACAUAAUUUUUUACAUAAAGUGAAAGGUCAUAGAAGUAUUACAAUUUUUUUUUUAGAACCAUGCAGGACCUUUGUAAAAUUGUAUUCAUGUCUAAUGCAUGCAAUUACAGGCUGAUGAGCAUGUUUUGAAAGCAUUGUCCUGCAAAUUUUUUAUUUCAGUACAAUCCAAACAUAUGCUUUAACAGCAUUUAACAUUGGCUUUAUAUCAAUGAAUAUCUUUUACUUAUCAAAAAAGAAGUAAAAAAAACCCAAUAGAUUUCAUCAUACCAGCACUAGUUUCUUUUCCCUUGCUUUUCACAUGUAUUUUUUUUUUUUUUUUUUUGAUGACUAAGCAUUGAGUUGAAGACUGCAUCCCACCCCAAAUUAAAAGUAACAACUUGAUUUGAUAAACUUUUUGCCAAGCGAGCUGUUUUUGAACAUCAUAUAUUAACUCUGGAUAUCAUAUUCUAAACCAACAUUAUUCUUCUAAACAUCAUCCUGAUCAUUAUUCUUCUAAACCACAUGUUUUGUGUAAUCUCAAUCUGUUAAUUUGUGUGGAUUGCAGGGUUGCAAGGCAAGAGGGAUCAAACUGUGUGGGUCCUUAGCAGCUGCUGCAAUAAUGGCUGCUUAUUCUUCUAAAGACCUCCCUGAUUACCAAUGGGAGAAGUAUGCAGUUGUAACCCUUGUUGAUUGUCGUAAAGAACUUGAUCCCCCUCUUCAUAGCCAUAAUCUUGGUAAAUCUUUUUUUAUCUUGGUGCCUUCUACAAAUGUACAUGUUAUCAAAAUUUAACUUGCUAACAUUUUUCUUGUUCAAAAUGUAUGAAUUAUUAUGUCUCCAUGACUCAGAACAUCUAUGACAGAGCUAUUUGUUUCAGGUUUUUAUCAUUCCGCUAUCCUCAACACACAAGAUAUCUCUGGAGAAACAGAACUGUGGGAGCUCGCAAGUAGAUGCUACACAGCCUGCAAAAAUGCAAUGAACUCCAACAAGCAUUUCACAGACAUGAAUGACCUUAACUAUCUCAUGUGUAAGGCCAUAGACAACCCUGGUUUGACCACUAGUUCAUCUUCAAGAACGUCGUUCAUUGCUGUGUUUGAAGAUCCUGUGUUCAAUGAUUCAAGGGAUUUACAGCAAGAAAUUGGUCUGGAAGACUAUGUAGGAUGCUCUUCAGUUCAUGGGGUGGGUCCAUCAAUUGCUGUGUUUGACACUAUAAGAAAUGGAGAGUUGGACUGCUCUUGUGUAUAUCCAAAGCCUCUACAUUCAAGAGAACAGAUGCAAGAGCUCAUUGAUCACAUGAAGAGAAUUCUAGUGAAUGAUAGUGCUUGAGUAGGAGGUUUGGGUCCACAUAAACUCUGUUCACUGAACUGAUUCAUGUAUGAUUUCUCUACCAUUGAUCUUCUCAAUGUACAUUACAUUAUUAAUCUACACGCAUGCAUAUCCGGUUGGGCCUAUUUUAACAAUUAUGGCGAGGACACCUUAUUACAAGUGCAUUACUGUUGUGCAACACUCUCUAGAUGCAAUUUUCUUCAGAGAUUUAUUGUGACCAUCUCACCUUCUCCGUAUUAUGUAAAAAUGUUGAUAUUAUUAAUGAAAUAUAAUUUUUUAUGUGGUAAUAUUUUAGGUCGUCAGAAUUUCUUGUUACUGCUCCAUUGAUUAGGAAACCACAUGGUUUAUAAUGUCUGAAUGUUUCAGGUUAAGUUUUUUUGAUUAACUUUUAGAUAAAAUACAAUAACCAUUCUUUUAAGGCUUGGGAACUGUGUCAGAAAUUCGUGAAAUUUAGGACUUUUCUUUUUUUGAACGGAGUUUGUUGUUGUCCCAUAUACUGUGAUUGAAAACUCGUGAACUUUGCAUACAACAGCAUUUUAUAUAGGUUAUACUAUAAAGGAAUACAUGUGUCUACCAAUAUAUCUCUAUUUUUGGGUUGGGAUAGGUUUUGAGAAUUUAUAUUAUACCUUCUAUACAGAUAUCGUUUACUUGGUUUUGUCAGGUAGCUAGGUUGCAAAUGCUCAACAGUUUUAACUGAAAAGGAACUCGAGAAUACCUUUCAAAUUCUUACUCCAAUGAUGCUUUUGUAAUAGAAAGUGUUUAAACUCACAUUAUAGUUUAUCCUAAAAGUUAUCGGUUGAAACUGAGAGCAACAACUUGCAUGUUUCAUAUGGUUCUAUUGAAAGCUUUAUCUUUUGAGUUUUGACAAUUUUGUGUCUUUAAAUAUACUCCCAGCAGAACAAAUAAACUCCUUCUGUAAAUCUUACUUAUUGUUUACUACUGUUCAUUCAAAUCUAUGAUGGUGUCUGAAUAGCAAAACUUCUGGCAUAUUAUUGUUUUAUAAUUUUUACUUCCAUCCACAGAAUGUGUUAGGCACUUAUCACUGCGAAAGCUUGCCUCUACUUCAACCACACUUUCUAUAUUCCAAGGACAUGAGCUAAGAUAAUGAAAUUGGUUACUGUAGGUAUGUUUUAAUUACUGUAUCAAUAGAUCAGUACUAAUAAUUUAUUGCAUGUGUUCAUAUAAGUUACACUCUGUAAGACUAUUCUUUCACCUGUUCCAAUGUAAUUUAAAUACAUUGGAAUGCUAUAGGAAUCCUCCAAGAUUCAUGUCUGUGCUUUUCUCGACCAGACUGUUAUCACCAUGGAUUUCACAGUAAAAGUCACUUAGUUCAUCACUAGAGCAAACAAUUACAGUCCAAGUCACCUCAGUCGUGAAUGCAAAAAGCAGACACAUACACAUUUACUCAGUUGUAAAUGCAACUAAAUUUCAAAAAGCUUCUUGUUUUGUCGAAAUUCAUCAGUUAUGUUGCUGUGUAUGAGUAGAUGAUUACAAAAGUAAGAACACUUAAAUGCAAUACUAAUAUAAGCAGGAAUAAUUAAAAUUAAUUUUAAUAGAAGUCGAUCAUCUAGAACUAUUUGUUGUCAAGAGUAGAUGAAGAGAUUAUCUUACCCCUCCAGUGAUAUUUUAACCUAGAGAUGCAACUGAAGGGUUAACAGUGGUUGAAUGUCACAUUAGGUUAGGUGUUGACAAUUGAACAAUUUUUUUAUUGAUCAUAUAAAUCGCAGACUAAUUUUCAUCUUUUUUAUUCGCAAUAUUGUUAAUUUCUGUCUUUUGGUUUUCCGUAUCCUGAAAGUAGUGGUAUGGUCACUGCUGAGCGAUGCUUAAAAAUAAGCUUAAGGCCAGUACAGAAUCAAUGUAGAUCCAACUUAUUGCAUCAUUAUAUGAUCAAAUAAACACUGAAUUACAUGUCAAAUCAUCAAUACAACUUAAAUCAAGAUAACGGAAAAGGCAGAAGCCUUGGAAAUGACUCAAAUGAGAAAUCUAAGGUUUAGGUGCUAGACCAGCCUUAAUCUUCUUUAUAGUGGCAAUAUCGGUUUUAAAUGCCUUAGCAAGAAUGCCUUCGUCGAUCCCAGUGGUAAAGACGGAGGCAGGGACUGAUACAGUUCCGGCACUUGCACUGCCAAAGGCAGAGAUGGCCAUGGCGGAUUCCUUGGUAUCGGCAUUGUACUGAUAAUGCACAAGUCCCUUGGGAAACACAAACAUGUCUCCUAGUUGGAGUGUUUGAUUGUAAAGCUUGUUAGUGGUAUCGAUCACUCCCACCUCGAGACUACCUUCAACUACGAAAAGGAGCUCAGCAGAGCGGGGGUGGGUAUGAGGUGGGUUGGUGCUACCAGCAGGGAAUUGCAGUGUAGCAAAGGAAACACUCUGACCAUUGAGAGCGGGAAAUUCAGCCAUGCUAGCUUUGGUCACAGUGAAGGUUGCUGGGGGAGUUUUAUCAAAUAUUCCACGCAGGCCAGUAAAAGUGAAGAAUGAACCAUCAAUACCAUUAGAGUUUUGUGGUGCGACGAAGUCUGUAAGGAUAUCUGGAUCACUUGCAUUCACUAAGGUAACCAAAGCCAAUAAUAGGUAAACGAAAGUAGGCUUGAGAAAUUUUGACGCCAUUUUAAAAGAUAAAGAAGAGUUUAUAGCUGAAGCAGUUAGUCUGUUGUUAUGUUGCGUAUUUCAGCUUGAUCAUCUAUUUAUAGACUUGAGGCCGGGUUGUGUUUGAAGCAUGGGAUUUGCAUGAGAUCGAGGUUGUCAAGGCUAGUUUGUGGCUCCAUCUACCUUGGCUCCUUAUAAAUUGAACAAGAGAGAAUAUAAACAGCUCAUACUAAUCCACAAAAAUAAUAGGACACUAACAUAUUCCAAAUAAAGAUAAGUUUGUUAUCUUUUUUCUGCUAUGUACUUUUUUGCCUAUAGCUUAGGACUUUCAGAAACUAGGGGUAUUUAGGUUUUAGUCAUUUUAUGUAUAUACUAUUUAGGGAAUAGUCACUUAAGUUCGAUUAAUUAGGUUUUAAUCAUUUGGUUUAACUUGAGUUAAAAAAAAUCCGGGUUUAACCGAAAUAUUCUCUUAAAUGGCUAAAUUACCCCUAAAAGUCGUGUGCAUUGCACAUGAUUACUUAAAAUUAAAAGAAAACAUAAGAACAUCUUUUUUUUCAGCCACCACCACCAUCCACUACCACCAGCUCUCUCUCUCUCUCUCUCAAACCAAUCCACCGUAUCACCACCACCACCUCCUUCUUUUGCACCAUCGUCGACAACCACCUUCCGCUUUCUCAAACACCAUCGUCCACCACCACUUUUCUAUCUAAUACCGCCAUCCACCACCACUAAUCUCUUUGAAAUUGAAAUUUCACAACAGAAAUAUACCCAAUCUCCAUAUGGGUUUUGUUCAACAUCAAUUAGUUUUAUUUUGGCAACCAUUUUCUUUUCAAUUUUUUAUUUCACAUAUUUAGUUGAGUGAAUAAAUGAAUAGAGCUUCAAUUAAUGAUUGUUUUGAUGUUUUUUUUAAUUUGGGUUUGAAAGGAACGAUAAUAGAGUAAUUUAGGAGAGUAUUUUGAAGAUAUUGAGUGUUGCUUUGAGAGAAUGGUGGUGAAAUAAGAUAAUGGUAGAGUUUAUUAAUCAAAGACAAAUCUAUGUUACUGCUAAAGUCUUGUGAUACAAGUGUUUUUUCAGUAAGGGUAUUUCUGCCAUUUUCAAAUGUUGUGUGGUUCAACUACCGGUUCGUGACCAAAACCUAAUUAAUCAAACUUAAGUGACUAUUCCCUAAAUAGUAUAUACAUAAAGUGACUAAAACCUAAAUACCCCUUCCAGUAAGAGAAAAUAGAUUUUUGAACAUUUUUUGCGGUUCUAUUUGCUGGGUGAUUUUGAGUCAAAGAAAUACCUGUACAUUUGAGUCCAAGGAGCAUGUGACUGAGCGCAUUGCAAUCGACAUCAAUGAGUUGCUAUGUUCUUAGAUUUCAGCUCAUCCAAUGUUCAAAGAUUUUCGUCUUUUAACUUCACUGUAGGUUGGGAUAUAUUCAUACUGAAAUUCCCAUUUUGGUUAUUCUUUAGAAUAAUUCCUUAAUAUUAUUUAUUUAAAAGAUCACUAUAUUGAAUUUAUAAACAUCCUUGGUUUAUUAUACUUUUACUACAAGCUGUGAAAUAUAUUUGUAGAGUUCAACUUGCCAAGCUCAAUGACAGCUUCCAGGAUCUUUCCUCUAGAACCAAACAAAAAUCUUGCAGUUUCCAACUCUUGUUUCAAUCUAACAGGCCUGCAUACUAAGCACACAAGCCUGAUCAGCUUUCUGCUUUCUUCUACAUAUAAAUAACAUCCUUGUGGAGUUCAUAUACAUAGUCUUACCUUCUUACAGAAACUGCACCAAGUAAGCUAUCUUAGAGUACAGUAAGCUAGCAUGGCUUUCGAUAAGCGUGGAAGCCUUGUAGUAUUUGUUGUCUUUGCUGUUUUACAAAUGGCAAAUGCAGGAGAUCCAAACAUCUUAACAGACUUUGUUGCCUCACCCAAUGGGACAGCGAUUGAUGCCAACUUCUUCACCUACACUGGAUUCCGAGUUCUUGUUGGGGAACCAACACCCCCUGCUUUUAACGUCUUGAAGGCUACCAAGAUGGAAUUUCCAUCUCUUGAAGGACAGAGUGUUUCUUAUGCUGUGCUUCAAUAUCCAGCUGGCACUAUCAACCCUCUUCAUUCUCAUCCACGCUCAGCUGAGCUACUGUUUCUUCUUGAAGGUACCCUUGAAGUGGGAGUUGUUGACACGACUAACAAGCUCUAUACUCAAACACUGCAAGCUGGUGACAUGUUUGUGUUCCCAAAGGGACUUGUUCACUACCAGUAUAAUGCAGAUUCCAAGAAUUAUGCCCUUGCAGCAUCAGCCUUUGCUAGUGCGAGUGCUGGAACCGUUUCGGUUCCCAAUUCUGUGUUUACCUCGGGCAUUGAUGACACCGUCUUGGCUACAUCCUUUAAGACUGAUGUUUCUACCGUUGAAGCGAUCAAGGCUGGACUAAAACCCAAGGCUUAAAAGUAGAGCCUGUAUCACUUGCAUGUAUGUCUUAUUCUGAACUAUGUAUGCAAUUAGUUUAGGGUCAUUUCAUCAACGAAUGUAGUAAUCAAAGUUAACUCCACUACAAAUAAAGCUGCUACCCCAAUAAUAUUUUAUUCAUAUUGAUUAACAGCUGUUCUAUAGUUCUGAUCAUUUGAUUAACAGCUGCUCAUUAUCUUUACAGAUGAUACUCUACUCUACUAUAUGAUAUGAACUACAUCGUCAUGAUGGUGUCGUCCAGUAACAGCAAACAUUAGCCUUACUUAUUAAUAAAGGGUUACAUUAAUCCUACUUAUUUGAAAUUUAAGAUUCUGGCGUUUCACGCAAUGAAGUCAAUUUUGAAUCUUUGAUCUAAUGAACGUUGUCCGUCAAACAUCAACUGUUGUGUUUAUCUGGUAUCAUAUAUAGGCCCUGAUUAGUAAACUAUAGAUAGUUUUCUCUUUAAACUUGAGUUAGUUUUGAUCCCGCCAGUAGGGUGGUUGAAGAAAUAUUGAUCUUAAUUUAUAUGAAAUUAAUGGAAAGCUUCAUUGAUUUAUAUGAGGAAUUACUAGCUCUUCCACAUGUUGUUAAGAAAACACAUUUGUUAUCUGUUGUAUUAAGAUAAUGAUUUGCAUAUAUUUCUGUCGUCUAGACUACGCAUAGUGAUUUGAAGUGAAAGCCUUAAAGGCAAGAAGUUAAAUGAUAACACCAGAUAAUAUGUUCACCAUCUACCGUCUACCAGUACCUGAUAGCUGAUAGGCCUAACAAGAUAGAUCUUCAGAGUUUAACAAAGCGCAUUAGUAUGUGUGGUAUGAGAUGGUUACGAAGUUUCAGACAUAAAUCUGAUACACAGGUCCUAUUAAAGUGUCCCUGCAUUUUUGAGUCCUCGUGUCUAAAACCAGUAACACAGCAAAUUCCUUUAAAUGAUUAUGAGUUGUGACAUUGUUAUGUUGCUUUUCAAUGUUUAUGAUCUCAGUAUUGCAAUUGCAUUACUAUCACAACUGUUGAACAUAUUUGAGGAUGUUUCUAAGUCACCUUUGCUUCAACUAGUUGUCUUUGCAUGGCAAGAAUGGUAAUCACUGGAAAUUACAUGUCAUAUUUUACAACAUCAUAUUGAUAAUAAAACCUUCAACUAGAAAAUUAAUGUAGUAUGUAUCCAUCCAUUCCUAAAAUGGCAGCUUUAAACUCGCUAAGAGUAUUAUUCAAAAAAAAAAAAAAAAAAAAAAACCUCGCUAAUAGUAUUGCUAAAGUUAUCUGAAAUUUUGGAUGAUUAGAUCGAUGUGGAAGUUGGACAUGGUGCCAAGAGGUAUCUUCAUUUUGAAGAUUACACCCUCACCUAGAGCCUUUGACACCAUUAAAAGUAAGAAGAAUGUUGGUGAUUGUGAUGUUGAGGUGUAGACAGGGAUUAACAGGAGACCAAGCCACAGAGGAGGUUGCUGCUUGCGAGAAAAAAAAAACAAAAGGAUCAUGAGGAUGGAACGGUGUAAGUACAGCUUCUAGACCUGUUCAAAUUUCAUGAUUUAGCGCCUUUAGUCCGUCAGUUAAUGUUGUCGCCUUGGGGGCCAUUACGCUGUAUUUGUAGUUUGAUCGUAGAUAAACUUGUAUGACACCUUGGGGGCAAGGCAACAACCUUAAUUUUCUGAAUCGUAGUUAUAUUCUUAUUGAAGGCCACGGCAGAGAUGGCAUCAUCAGUUCCACUACCAAAUACAGACCAAGGGACCUGAUGCGUACAUUCCUGACAUUUGAACUACAAAUGGUCUAUCCCCUGGCUGUUUCCUUUGCAUGGCAAUGUACUGGUCAUUCAUUGAGUCCCUGAGGGCCUGUGGAAACAUACACAUUUCCCCUGUAUCUAGCAUUUGAGUGUAAACUGUAAAGUUUGUUAGUGGUGUCAGCAGAUUAAGAAUGAGUAUGAACAUUUUAUCGUGAAAGAGGUGUGACCGUGGAUGUAGAAUUAAGUGAAUCUAUGAAGUCUGCAGCGAUGUCUGGUUUGCUUAUUGAUCAAUGGAGAUAUAAGCAAGUUAAUAAGAAGGAAGAACAUGAGGUACUGUAGGAUAUGGAGACCAUAACGACAUGCUUUAGAGUUGAUUCAACCUCUUUCAUAAUCUUUUUAAAGUCUUUUGAAACUUUUGACCCUGACAGGCUCAAUAGCCUGCAGUGGCCGGCUGAUACUGAAGUUCAUUAGGCUUGUUUGUCUUUCCCUUAAUCUCGCCUUUUUCCUAUUAUUGUUGAAUAACAUGGAUUCUCUUAAAGGCUCCAUCAAAACCAGAGUUUGUCUUCAUCAUCUAUCUACUUAAUAGGUGACUUUUGGAAAAUACUAAAGGCAAUUCCAAAAUAUCAAUAAAAUAAAAGAUAUAUUCCCUGCAUCAUAGAAAUUUCAGAACUGUAUACUAAGCCGAAAAGAUAUAUGCCAUUGUAAUUGACAUCUGCAGGGGCCGGCCGAAAAGACUGAACAAGAAGAAUCCUGUAUAAUUUUUCUACUAAUCUCCAUAGAAAAAAAGUUUGCAAGAUAUAUUACUAUACAUGCCCCAAACAUUGACAUGGAGUACAGGUUCAGAAAUGCUUUCUUAGUACUAGUAAUUUCCUUUGGUGUUAUACUAACAGCAAAAGCCGGUGAUGCAGACAUCCUUGUAGACUUCGUAAUCCCUUCAAAUGUCACUGUGGUUGACGGAAGCUUCUUCACCAGCACCUCUAUGCGGGUCCUUAUUGGGGCAGAACCUCCCACGUUUUUUAGUGUAAUGAAAGCAAGUUUGGUUGAAUUCCCAGCUCUGAAUGGACACAGUGUUUCCUAUGCGGUGUUACAAUACCCAGGUGGGACUGUCAACCCUCCUCAUACACACCCUAGUUCGUCCGAGCUUUUGUUCCUUCUCACUGGUACUCUUGUAGUGGGGUUCAUUGACACCAGUAAUAUUAUUUACACAAAGUCCUUGCAAGCAGGGGACAUGUUUGUCUUCCCUAAAGGACUGAUUCACUACCAGUACAACAGCAAUGACAAUGAGUCUUCCUUCGCACUCUCUGCCUUUGGCAGUGCAAAUGCUGGAACUGUUUCAGUCCCUGGAGAUGUGUUCACCUCUGGGAUUAGCGAUUUUGUCCUUGCAAAGGCUUUUAAGACGGAUAUUUUCACUGUUCAGAAGAUCAAGGCUGGUCUUACACAGGCCUGAGGAAGAUUUAGUGAUUCUUAAUAUCAGUUGUACAUCAAAUGUUUAUAGGUUUUGAUCUAUAAUUUAGCUAGCUACUCUUUUAUAUCUUACAUAUAAUAAAUUAGUUAAUUUCUCCACAAUUGUAUUGUGAUUAUAUAAUUACAAGAGGCAAUGGUAUAUAUGUAUUCGUAGUUAGAUAAUUUUUAUAGACUCCAAUCACAUUACAGCUUACUUGCUUGCUUAUAGUUAAGUUGAUACAGAAACUACAGAAGAGCAUAUUUCACCUGUGUAUAUAUAGACUCAGUAAAUUUCAAGUUGUGCAUUUCAGAACUACGAAGUUUUGAAUGUAUGUGAACAUAUAUAUGCCAUGAUAAUACAGAUGAACAGAGCUUGGUGGCGGAUUAGAACCACAAUGCAUGGCACGAUCCAUAUAUGAACAACCACCCGCAUGAAUGUACCAGCUUAGAUUGAGUGCAAUCUCAGGAGAAAAAGCUUUGUUUUCUUUGUGAUGUAAACAAGGAAACUUGGGUAUCCUGUUCAGUAACUGACCAGUAAUCCUUAAAAUCCCGAAUUGUCAAGGAGCAGAAAGUCUAUACUAUACCGGCAUCCUAACAUAUCCUAUUCAUCAAUUUAGAAUACUUUAUUGGAGCCUAAUGUACCACAAAAGUUACACACUGAGAACACAACAAAACCAAAGCCAUUUCAAGAUGAAUCAAGCUUGGAAUUAAACGUUGUAGUUUUGUAGUUGUUCUGUCAAUGGCAAUAGCAGGAGAUCCAUAUAUCAUCUCUGACUUUGUAGUCUCGGCAAAUAAUGGUACAGCAUUUGAUGCUAACUUCUUCACCAACACAGAUGGGAGGGUUCUUGUUGGAGCAACCUACACCAUUUCAGGUGUUACUUAAAAUCUAGCUUGGCUGAAGUCGUGUCAAUGGACAGAGUGUUUUUUGUGUGGUGUUAAAGUUCCCAGUGGGCUAUAUAUCAGCCUUCCUAGCAUGCAUUGAAGAUUGGCAGUACUACUGUUCCUCUUCAAUCCGCAUGAAGUAGGGUUCAUAAGCACGUGCGUUUAACGAGUUCUACCCUUAAGGAAUGCAAGGAGAUUGCAUGUUUGUGUCUCCCAAAGCGCUUGUAGUAUAAAACUUCGACGUAAUUGCAAUAUCAGCUUUAGUAGUGCAAAUGCUGAAACCGUUGUUGUUCCGAAUACUGUGUUCACACAUCACUACAGGCAUCAUUAUUCCUUUAAAAGUUUAAACUGAUGUUGACAGUACUAUCGAAAUCAAAGCAAUGAAGGCUGACCUAGCAACAAUAGCCUAAGGUACUGAUCCUUUUGUUCUGUAUCAUCAUUAUUCGCUUGCUUCUACAUAUUUAAACUCCAAGCAGGUGUCACUUCUAUUUCUAUCAAGCUUCUGAAGGAAAAAUUUCUUAAAUGACUAAGCGAGGAAUAUUUAAAGAAUGAAGAAUGCUCUUAUUGAUGAAAAGUACAUAACAGACUAGUCUGUUACAUUUACAAUACACGGAGAAAUACAAUACUUUAACACCUCCUUUCACUCUUUAUUAGUCUCUAUUACAUAGAAUACUGAAUUGGAAAAUGGGAUCUAUAAAGAGAAGAUAAAUAAAAAGAAUUCAAACAAAAAAAAAACAGGUGGGAUCAUAUUGUGAAAUUCAAAGGAACGUCAAUUUACUUAGGUGGUGCUAUACCAGCUUUGAUCUUCUGAAUGGUUUCUACAUCAGUUUUGAAAGCCUUAGCGAGGAUGGCAUCAUCAAUGCCUGUAGAAAACACCGACAGGGGUACUGAUACAGCCCCAGCAUUUGCACUACCAAACGCGGAGAUGGCAGUAGCUGCUACUGUUGGAUCGGCAUUGUAUUGAUAAUGUACGAGACCCUUGGGAAAAAUGAACAUGUCCCCUAGUUGGAGAGUUUGGUUAUACAAUUUGUUAGUGGUAUCUACCAAACCAACCUCGAGGCUGCCUUCCACAACAAACAGGAGUUCAGAAGAACGUGGGUGUGUGUGAGGUGGGUUGAGGCCACCUGCAGGGUAUUGUAGUACGGCAAAAGAAGUACUCUGACCAUUGAGAGCUGGAAAUUCAGCAAGGCUAGCUUUUGUCACCUUGAAGGUUGUUGAGGCCACAUCAAAUAUCCCACGCAUGCCUGUGUAGGUGAAGAAUGUGCCAUCAACAGCAUUAGAAUUUGCUGGGAAAAUGAAGUCUGAAGUUAUAUCUGGGUCACUUGCAUGGGCCAAAUAGGAGCUGGUCAAGGUCACCAAAAAAAGGAACAAGGUAGAUUUCAACAAAGCCAUUGGUUGUAUAUGAUAUAAGAUGAAGAAGAAGCUAUCUGAAAAGAGAUGGUGUUGGUUUGUAUUGGUUAUGUAGUUCUGGGCAUCUAUUUAUAACAAUCAGGGUUUGAGGAAGUGGAGGGUUGAUGAUUGUUUAUUACAGAUACUGUUAUAAAUUGUCAUCUACAUUAUGCCGAAGUUUACUAUGCUUGUUUUGUGUUGCAUUCUACUUCAAAUUAAUCCAUACAAAGUAAACAAGAAAGCAUAUUAUAGGUGUAUAUAAUCCAGCUUUCAUUCUUCACGCGUUUUGAAGAAUAAAAACAAAAGUUGAUUUAAUCGAGUUGAGAAUAUAUUUUUGGAAUAUGUUGACGAAGAACUGAUCGAAGGAUGCAGGCGUAUAGAUGACAACCUUGAUAACGCCUCAAGGUAUAGUACUACAACCUAAAAAGGGCAUUGUAAUUUCCAUUUUCACUGUCAGUAUUCAACCGGCCUGCACAAAGCAUAACAUAAUCAUAAUUUCUCCCUUCUAUUCUCUCCUUAUAUAAUACCUUAGUGGAGACUCAAGUACUACAUCAUAUUCACUGUUAAACACAUCAACACCAAAGUCUCAAUCCCAAGAUGGCUUUUAAGCUACAGGAUAUUGUCGUACUUGUACUAUUAUUCGGUGCUAUUGUACAAAUGGCGAUAGCAGGGGAUCCAAAUUAAUAUCCUCUCUGACUUCAUAGUCUCGCCAAAUAAUGCCACAGCAGUUGACGCUAACUUCUUCACCUUCACAGGCAUGAGGGUUCUUGUUGGAGCAGAUCCACCUCCAGCUUUUAAGGUGUUAAAGGCAAGCUUGGCUGAAUUUCCAUCUCUUAAUGGACAAAGUGUUUCUUAUGCCGUGCUAAUAUUCCCAGCAGGGGCUGUCAACCCUCCUCACACUCAUCCAAGGUCGGCAGAGCUACUGUUCCUCAUUCAAGGUUCUCUUGAAGUGGGUUUCGUUGACACGACUAACAAACUCUACACUCAAACUUUGCAAGAAGGAGACAUGUUUGUGUUUCCUAAAGGGCUUGCUCAUUACCAGUAUAAUGCAGAUGCUAAAGUCUCAGCUAUGGCAGUCUCAUCCUUUGGCAGUGCAAAUGCUGGAACCGUAUCUGUUCCUAAUACUGUGUUCACAACGGGCAUUGACGCAACCAUCUUAGCUAUGUCAUUUAAGACUGAUGUUGCCACUAUUCAAGCAAUUAAGGCUGGACUUGCAACCAAAGCCUAAUUACUAGAGUCCUGCUACUCUGUAUCUUCAGUAUUCCUCAUUUGAUUCUUUUAUUCAUUUAGUCGUGGCAAAUAAUCGAUUGUAUUUCAGUUUUUCUUCUUUGAUUUGUUUAGGCAUUUUAAUGAAUAAUUGAUUGUAAUGAAACAACUUUCGGUAUAUUUCUGAAUAUUAUUACUUAUUCAAAUAAUAUAUCCAUAGUUUACUGCAGAUGAAUGUAUAAUGUAGUUGGCAAGCCCCUUUAGAAAUAUUGAAAACCUAUUACCUAUAAACUAGAAACCAAAAUGAUCAGUACGUAUAGACCAUGAAAAGAAAAGAAUCAAGAAGUCUGAACUGUAAGAAAGAAAGAAAGCGUUGGUGGCUGGAAGGAAUGUCAUUUAUAAUAUAUGUGGCAGGCUUACAGAUGAUGUGAAUGUGUGAAUGUUCAAUCUGAUUUUGUCAGAGAUUUUUGAAAGAACUUGACAAGCGAACAAACUAAUCUAACACAAGUUGGUCGCAAACAUGCAAUCAGCCUAUGAUGUUCAGGUUGCAUUACACUCUAAGAUUAUAGUGUUAAGCCUAUGAUGUUCAAGUUUCAAUACUUUAACAUCAAGACGUAGUCGAUCCUCUUCUUACAUGAAAGUGAAAGCAGCAGAGUUGGCCAAGGAUACUUGUGAAGAUGUGGAGAGACUUAACACAAACUCCUUAUAGAUCACUGGACAUCAGAAUACAGAAAGUAGAAAUGGUCCAUAUGUUUGACAUGUUGUUGAAGACUUUCAGGUUUUAAGAAGCUUACCAUUCCUUGCUUAACAAGCAAGUAUCUACACCACACAAAAACUAUUUUACAGAGAUUUAAUAUAAUGCAUAAAAUUACAAGCUGCUGCAUGCAUGAUUUGAAAAAGCAGAAACUAAUGUAGCAUUUAAUGAGAAGUCAUACCUUGGCAUAUUGGGAGAUCAGAUAAGCAAAAUUCUCCUGCAACUAUAGGCCUAUAGCUAUAGUCUUUGGCUGCUUUGCAAUCAUUAUAUUCAAAUCAGCAUUAAACAGGAACUUAUUUCCGAGCUGCCCAGUGAUGACAAUGGUGCAAAAUUAGCAAAUUAGCAUACCUAAAAAAUAUUUUGUUUAAUAUAUUAUUAACGUGCAAAAAUAUAUUAUUAACGUAAUAUAUAUAUAUAUAUAUAUAUAUAUAUAUAUAUAUAUAUAUAUAUAUAUAUAUAUUUGUUUCCAUAAUACGCAUGAUUAAUUAUAUGGGUAAUAUUUUGAUAUCUUUGUUUUAGGAAAAUGAUUAUUUUCCAAACCACUAUAUAUAUAUGUACCUCUAAGAAUACUGAGUGUUUAGCAUUGAGAUUAGUUAUUUUACUGAGAAUUCAAUAGUUUUAAUUAAGUUUUAACACAUAGCAAAAAGAUGGCAUUGAAGUUGAGCAUUGUUGCUUUCCUUGUAUUGUUCCUUAUGGUUUCAGCAGGUUAGCAAAUAAUAUACUCCUUGACUUUUUAUUUUUUAAGUUAAUAUAAACCAUAAAACAAAGGGAGAAAUUCACAUCUUCCAUAUGGAUUAUAUUAUAUAUUUUUUUAUAAUUAUAUAUACUAGUUUGUGUUAUAUACAAGUAAACUAAUAUAAUUCUCGGUUUUUGAUUUCAGAGUACACAACUGCUGGUGUACCAUACAAUUGUUGUGUGGAUACUCAUGAACCAGGUUGUAUUCCUAACAACAGUGGUGCUGAAAAAAGCUGCUUUGAUAAAUGUUUGCAGACUUGCGGCAAAAUACACCCUGAAAACCAAAAAGGAGGGAUGUGCAAGGUGAUAAACAAAGAGCAUUUUUGCCAUUGCAAAUGUUAAGUUACUAAUUAAUAUCAAUAUUGGUUGGUUGUUUUUAGCUAGUUGCAAUGGUUGUUAUGAAAAAGGAACUUUUGUACGUUUGUUUCUGGACUUUUGUCUAUGGUCAUGGUUUUGUUUUUGUUUUUGUUUUAUUGGAAUAAAUCAUAAAUGGUGCUCUUACAGUCGUCUUACUGCAUGUAUGAUGUAGUAUUGCAUUUACAAUUGGAAUUACAAUUCAUCCAUUAAUUUUUCUUGUCAGAGUUAUUUAUUCAGAAAUCCACAAGAAAUAAAACCCAAGAAUGAAAGUCAUAUCUCCAAAGACUUACCUCUGCCAAAGAGCUAGCCAUAGAAACAUGUAUUGAGUAUUACGUACACACCUUUUACUAAAAGAAUAAACUCUGAAACUAUAUAUAUCAUGCAUGAAAGAAUCAAGCUAGCCAAUGAUUCACAUUUCAGAAGGUUGAAUCAAAAAGUUGAUCCCAAAAUGGUAAUAGUCCGGUAAAAUAUGAUCAAAAUUUCCACAGGUUGCAACUAUUAUUGGUAAACAAAGAAGGCAAAUUCCAAAGAACCCAUAAAAGCCAUGGACUAAAUUGCAAAUAUAUGCAAACGAAACUCUGAGGGACUACCUUCAUUUAUUCAUCUAUAGUUUACAUAAGAAAAACAUAAAUAACUUUUCAAUGCAAAAGCACACAGUACACUUAUAGGGCAAAGUACAGUUUCAUAAGGCAGUAUUCAUAUUAGAAGAGCAACAGUUUCAUAGUGCAGGUUUUGAUAUGAGCUUGAUUGGAAGACCAGUUGAUGGAUAUGGAAGUGGUUGACGUGCAAUCUUUUCGUUUGGAUUAACCUGAGACCAUUCGAACCUUGUUACCAAGUGAUGAACUAUGGUUAAAGUCUUCACCCUAGCAUAUUCAUUGCCUAUGCACUGAUGCAUUCCUGCUCCAAACGGAAUGUAAGUGCAGGGAGGAAUUGGCUUCUUUGCUUCGAAACGAGAUGGGUCAAAUGUGGUAGGAUCUUCAAAGAAGUUCUUGUCCAUGUGAGUUUCACAUGCUACCCAGAACACCUAUAACAUAAGAACAAAACAAUCAUCAAUAUCGUAUAGAAGCAAUACGCAGUAUGUCGUUGCUGAUAUUUAUAGUUGAACUGAAAAUAUACCUGCCACCCUUUGGGGAGAUCAAAGCCUGCAAAACUGGUAUCUGCAGUAGUGGUUCUAAAGUUUCCAAAUAGUGGGGGAAUGACUCUCAUCAACUCUUGUGCGACGCUCCAAGUAUACUUCAUCUUAUUUACUUCAACCCAUGUAAGUGUUUCAUCUCCUCCUUGCCUCUGAGCUAGGAUGCCCAAAUGCUCUAUAUUGAGAAACACAAUUGUUAGGUAAAACAAGAGCAACGCAACAAAGUUUUGGGUGCAACAGAUAGAUAUAGAGUGACCUGACUAUUACCUUCUCUAAUUUUGUCAUAGAUUUGCUUGUCUCUAGCCAACUUCCAGAUCAUCAUGCUAGAGAGAUUUGCUGCAGUAUCAUGACUGGCUAUCAUCAAGAAAAUGAAGUUAUCUAUAAUUUCCAAGUCUGAAAGAGGCACUACAUUUUCUCCUCCAAUUGACAAAAAACAUGCAAUGACAUCGUUUCUGGGGCUUAAAGUUCCAUUUGCGAGCUCUUCCUUUUUCUUCUUUAUAAUUGGCAAGAUCUUCUCAACAAUUCUUUUUCGUGCAGCUAAGCCUCGUGUAUAGUUUGUCCCAGGAAGAUUAAUGGGGAUUGACCAGAAGGCCUUAAAUGCAACUGCAAAAUCGCUCAUCAAGCCCUUUAUAAUCACUUCAUCGUCUACGCCAAAUAGUACACAACAAGCAACCUCGAAUGUCAAAUUUUUCAUGAACUGCACGGCUUGAACAACAUCUCUGUUUUUUGUUUCUCUGAGUAAGCUAGCCUUAAUCAAACGGUCCAUAUGUUUAACAUGGUGUUGAAGACUUUCAGCUUUUAAGAAGCUUACCAUGCCUUGCUUAACAAGCAGGUAUCUGCACCAUACAAGAAAAAGCCAUGAGCAACAAAAAAAAGCAUGGACCUUAUGAUUUACUUGUUGCAACUUUAGUAGAUUACAGGAUAUAGUCAUGGUAAUCCAAAUAAAAAACUUUGCAUUUUGCCUGGUUGUCAACUGUACUAUUGAUAAAUAAAAAAAAGCUUACCGUGGUUUUGGGAGAUCGGAUAAGCUGUAUUCUCCUGCAACAAUGGCAAGAGUCUUGGGAGGCUUUGCAGACAUGAUAUCAUAAUCAGCACCAAAUACAAACUUAUUGCCAGGCUGCCCAGUGAUUACAAAAGUAGGAGAACCCAUCAUAUGUGUCUUAAACACUGGACCAUGUUUCAAGACUCUUUCAUGUAUCCAUUCAUCACCGCGGUCUUGCAAUUGCGCUCGAAGAAAACUUAUCGAUUCUCCAAUUAGUGGAAAACCCAAAGAUCCACCAGGCAGAUUAUAUCCUCUGUAAUCCUUCUUGAAAAGAAGGUAAAGGAACAAAGAUGAAGCAAUGGUAAUUGCAACCAACACAACAGGUGACAUACUCAAGAAUGAUUCUAGUAAUGUGUUCACCAUUGUUGAUCUUUUUAGCAAUGGCUAUAACAAGUGUUAUACAACUUUUUCUUGCUGGAACAAGAGUGUUAUACAACUUGAUGUGGUUUUACAUACCCUCACUUCAUCUAUAUAUGUAUGGUAUGAUAAAGCACACCAAUUAUGAUCAAAAUUAAAUAAAUAUAUUGAAGAACCAUGUUAGUCAAUAAUUUUUUUAAAAUAAUAACAUAAAAAUAUCCUAUGCGAUCCAUCUGGAAUGAUACUUCAGUCUUUGAUAAUAUUUUUCAAGUUGUGGUUCUUGGCUUCUUGCUUCAAAGUUAGUACUUCAGUCUUUGUUGUAUUUUGUUGACUUGAUCUUCAAAGUUCAAAGAAUGUUGGUGUGUUGGACGGCUUAAACUGACCAUUGAUGACCCAAUUCAUGGUUUUUUUUUGCUGUUCAAUUAAUGGCCCAAACUCUAAGAAUGCCCAACAAAUCCACAUGUUAGAAUUCAUCAAUAAGCCCACGAUUAUGUUUCUUACGUCAGUUGGUACAAAGCCAUUGUCAUGUGGACUUAGGCAAAAAAAAAAAAAAAAAAGCCAUAUACACACAUGUAGCACACAUGAAAAGGAAAAACAAAUUAGGUGAGAUAUGAAGGAGGAAACAUUAACAUGUAUACAGUGGUGUGCGCAGCGGAAACAAGUGUAUGAUUGAACUAGUGUAUGAAAUAAACAAAAAAACGACAAAAUCAAAACAAGCAACCACACAAGACACAAGAUAUAUGUGGUUCGACAAUAUGCCUAUAUCUACGGGGAGAAAGGAUGAUGCUUUUCUUAUCGAGACAAUUGUACAAGCCCUCACAAAGAAAACCGAAGUCUUCUUCCUCACAAAAGUUCUCCAACUCUCUAAUGGCUUCUCACAAUCUCUCUCUUAAAAAACUUAGGAUUUUUUUUCACUUCUAUUUGGCUUUAUAACAUAGUCUUACAAUAGACCACGAAUUGGGCUUAAAUAGGCCCAUAUAGCAAAAAACACAGGAGGACGUACGUACGUCGAAAUCACGUUUGUACGUCGAACCACGGAGAAGUUAUCUGGCGUACAGGACGUACGUACACCCUAACUACGUACGUACCUGAACAAGUAAUACAACGUUCGUACGUCGAAUCGAUAUUCGUACGUUUCUUUCCACUUCUAUUUUCUGUGAUGCUGAACGUACGAACGCCUUAACUGCGUACGUACGUUCCUGAACAAAAACUUCCCUCCGUCCUGAUUUCACCUGAAAAACCCAACAUACAGUUCUUUUGCCACUUCUCAACUAUGUAAAUUUAAGAGAGAUUAUCCGUGGAAAAAGAAGAAGAUGCAACACCAGUUGGAGUCACUUUUUUUUUUUUGAUCAAUGUAACAACAUAUUUAACACCAAGAAGAUUUACAAGCCUGAUCAGCACAUACAGAGAACUGUAUAUCGUCAAGUGGAGUCACUUAGCUAGUAGAAGGAGAAGACAGGAUGGAUUUACAAUUGGGUGAAGGAAAUGAAGUUAUUUGAUGACUCCAAGAUUGACGUUAAAGGGCUUGUCGACUCAGGCCUCACAACCAUAAUCCCCAGAUUUUUGUACACAACCACACUCCAGAGCCUGAGUGAUCUCAAAACAUGUUCAGAGUUCAUUGAAAUUCUUGUAGUCAAUCUCCUACAUGUCAACUCUCACAGAAGACCAGAGAUUAUUGAUCAUGUCAUAUAAGCCUCGUGCAUGGGUUUUUUUUUUUUUUACUUUGCUAUAUCUGCUGUUAAAUUAAGAAACCCUAACUGUGAAUACGGACAUAUGCCUCAAGCUAUGGAAAAAAUCCUGGCUUGAUCAGCAACUGAAUGUGGAGAUCCUGACUACCAUUACCACAAGGUGAACAAAUGAGGCAACAGCCAAAUCCACAUUUAAUAAACAAAAGGUGGCAUGCAGGAGUCCUCAUUAUUAAGGCAUUCAUAUGAUGAUAAACCUACUCAUUGGAAUUCAAAUUGCUUAAACAAGUAUAUUAGGAAUACUAAAGUAAGCAUUUAAGCACAAACAAAAGCACUCAUGGUGCAAGACAUAUGUCUGUUCUACCAAUAAAAAAUAAAUAGAAAAUUGCAAUAAGGUGAGACCAUGGGAACCAGCCGUGAAAGAAGGUGCAAAGAGCAAAAGAAGAAAGAGAGGUGGAGGUGGAGGUGGAGGUGGAGGUGGAGGUGGUGGUGGAGGUGAAGCAGAGAGGUGGAGGCAAGACAGCGGAAAAAAAACUCCCAUCAGUGGGUCCAACAUAAAACACCUGAGCUCACUUGAUUUUCUUUUUAGGCCUCAACUGAAAUGCAAACAAAUA
rnacentral:lncRNA from 1 species